AGACCACUGGCCCGAACAUGGUUGUUGAUAUGUGUAAGGGAGUGCAGUACCUCAAUGAAAUCAAGGAUUCUGUUGUGGCUGGCUUCCAGUGGGCCUCAAAGGAGGGUGCACUGGCUGAGGAGAACAUGCGUGGCAUCUGCUUUGAGGUCUGUGAUGUUGUUCUUCAUGCUGAUGCAAUUCACAGGGGUGGUGGCCAGGUCAUUCCAACUGCCAGGAGGGUUAUUUAUGCUUCUCAGCUCACUGCCAAGCCAAGGCUGCUCGAGCCAGUUUACCUUGUGGAGAUCCAGGCCCCAGAAAAUGCACUUGGUGGUAUCUAUGGUGUUCUGAACCAGAAGAGAGGGCACGUGUUUGAGGAGAUGCAGAGGCCUGGUACCCCGCUCUACAACAUCAAGGCUUACCUCCCUGUCAUCGAGUCCUUUGGGUUCUCCAGCCAACUGAGGGCUGCAACCUCUGGCCAGGCGUUCCCUCAGUGUGUGUUUGACCACUGGGACAUGAUGGGCUCUGAUCCUCUGGAGGCCGGCUCCCAGGCUGCUCAGCUGGUGUUGGAUAUCCGCAAGAGGAAGGGUCUCAAGGAGCAGAUGACCCCUCUUUCUGAGUUUGAGGACAAGCUCUAAAUUUUGGUGGUUUGUGCUGCUGUUACCCAUGCUGGUUUCAUGGCCAAUUCGUCUACUGUAACUGGAACUACUUUCAUGUUUCAUUUCCUUUAGUUGUCAGAUGCAUCUGUUUUUGAACAUCAUUGGCCAUAUGGCAUUGUGCUGCUAAGACUGUAUUUUGUUAUCCGGUUGUGAUGUAACAGAUGAAAUAGAGUUCAUAUCUGUGGUUUAAGUGGUAGUAUUUGCGGUAUAAUGCUUGUUUCUACUGCCUUCUGAAAGCCUUUCUUUUGCCUAACGGUAGAGCGGAUUAACUAAGGGUGUUGUAUCAUUUGAUUCAUUUGAUCCUUCAUCAAGGAUGAAGCCAUCUCCUCAUGGGAACACAUUAUUCUACUAUUAGAAGCGAAGAUGUAACAAAUUAGUUGAAAGAGGAGCGUUGAAAGAGGAGCGAACCAUACUUUACUAUAUGGUAAGUAGCAAAUUAGUUACAAGUAGCAAAUUAGUUGAACUUUAGGAUCAUGCACGUUGAACCUUGUUAUCUAGGAUCAUCCAUGGAUCAUGCACGUUGAACCUUGCUAACUAGGAUCAUGCACGUUGACCCUUGUUAUCUAGGAUCAUCCAUGGAUCAUACACGUUGAACUUUGCUAUCUAGGAUUAUCCAUGUAUGCAUCAUGUAGUGCAUCUGUGCAUGCAAUAUUCUGUUAUCUAGGAUCAUCCAUGGAUCAUACACGUUGAACUUUGCUAUCUAGGAUUAUCCAUGUAUACAUCAUGUAGUGCAUCUGUGCAUGCAAUAUUCUGCCCUUAGCUUGGUUUUACUGCCGAUAGCUAUAUAGUGCAUUUAAAUGCUUUUCUUUUGCCCACAGCCCCAGAGGUAGAGAGGACUAACUGUUUCUGUUGCUUUUUUUUUUUACGGUCUACGGGAGAGAGUGUGUGUGUGUGUUGGGGGUGGGAGCGCCCCCACCUGAUUUUCAUUUCAUUGAGGGUCUGUUUCAGGCCAAACGCUGUGUAGAUCAAAAGGAGAUAGAGAGAGGCAGUGUACAUCUGGUUUUGUGAUUGUUUUACAUCGAAGCAAAGACAGUGCACCAGGAGUCGGUUAUCACGCGAUCCUCUAUGCGAAACCGCUCGCGCCAAAGUCGGGCUUCGUCUCGGCAUGCCGACCAGAAGCGUUGUUGAGAUGGAGCGCAGCGCUGGAACACUGGGUCAUUCCGGUGCUUCCAUAACACCCACGGCAGAAGGAGUUUUUUCUUGCUUUGCCUUUAGCUUGGCUUUAAUCCUGUUAGCUAUGCCUAUGUAGAGCAUUUGGUCCUUCGAAUUUUAAAUCGAUGUUGAUUUUGAUUGCAUGCCGUCAUUUUGGGUUGGUUCCAACUAUGUUUUUAAUAUCAGUCGUUCUGAAGGUUACUCUGUUGACACUUGAUUGCAUAACCGUUUGCUAGUUUUGCGUGCAUCCGCGUGCUGGUUCGUCUCAUCAAGAACUAGCCGUUGCUCAAAACUCUGGCUUUCAGGCAUGGCCGCAACAGCCUGGAGGAUGUGUUGCUGUUCUGUAGCUGUAGUGUGCGUCUGUGCUAGUGGAUGCAGGGAGCCAGCGACCUAAAAGGAAUCGUGUAUUAGUGGAUGCAGGACAUCGGCCGUGGCGGCCUGGGGGAGACGACCACGCUCGACAUGAACGGCAGUAAGUUCAAUGGCACGAUCCCGGCGUCGCUUACCGGCCUAUGGAGCCUCCAGUAUCUAGAUGUGAGCGGCAACCGCUUCACCGGCACCAUCCCAGCGUUGCUAUCUGGACUCCGGAACCUCCAGCUUCUCGGCCUGAAUGACAACCUCUUCACCGGCACCAUCCCGGCGGACCUCGGCGAGCUGGCGAGCCUUCACAUGCUGUAUCUGGCAAACAACCAGUUCGAUGCAGGCCAGCUGCCGUCGUCGUUCAAGAACCUGACCAACCUGGUCAGCCUCUGGGCGUCGCAGUGCAACCUCGUCGGAGAGUUCCCGAACUUUCUUUGGAGCCUGAAGGAGCUGCAACUAUUGAAUCUGUACACGAACAACCUCACCGGCAACUUGGUGGUUGAUGGCCUUGUUGCGAGGAACUUGACAGUAAUCGACGUCUCGGAGAACAAGAUCACUGGAGUUAUCCCGAGUGUUUGGGAGCUUGGAGAACCUCAGAGACUUGAACUUCUUCAUGAACAACUUCUCCAGCGAGAUACCAGCCAGCAUCGGCCGGUUGCCCUCACUGACGAGGUUGAGGCUCCACACCAACAUGCUUAACGGCACGCUCCCACCGGAGCUCGGAAAGCAAUCGCCGGGCUUGAAUUAUGUUGAGGUUGAUUACAAUGAGCUCACCGCCGAGAUCCCGGAAGGGCUGUGCACUGGAGACAACCUCCAGCACCUCACCGCCAAGAGCAACCAAUUGAACGGCUCCAUCCCAGCAGGCCUUGCCAACUGCGCCACUCUUGGAACCCUGUCGCUGGACAACAACCAACUCUCUGGCGACGUACCAGAGGCUCUGUGGACGGCGACGAAGCUUUACCAGAGGCUCUUCCGGCCACGGUGCAUCUCAACCUUUCGACGAUACUCAUAGGGAACAACCAAUUUGGUGGCAACAUUCCGGCUGCACUAGCUGCGCUCCAGGUGUUCACCGCCGAGAACAACCGGUUUUCUGGUGCGAUACCGGCGAGUCUUGGCGACGGCAUGCCGCUGCUGCAAAGACUGAACUUAUCCGGUAACCAACUGUCCGACGGGAUCCCCAGAAGCGUUGCUAAGCUAAGCCAGCUGACGGAAAUGGACCUGAGCAGGAAUCAGCUCACCGGAGGCAUACCGGUAGAGCUCGGCGCCAUGCCGGUGUUAAGUGUCCUUAACCUGUCGUCGAACAAGCUCUCCGGCAACGUGCCGCAGGCGCUUGCGAAGCCGACACUCACCGCCCUAACCUGUCCUCGAACCAUCAGACCGGCCAGGUCCCGGCCGGGUUCGCCACCGCGGUCUACGACACCAGCUUCCUCAACAACCCCGGCCUCUGCACCGCCGCUUGGGGACCUGGCUACCUCACGGGCGUACGCUCCUGCGCCGGUGGAUCACAAGACGGCGGUUCCUCCGGAGGCGUGUCGCACGCCCUGCGCAGGGGAACCUCGCCGUGGCGUUCGCCUUCUUCGUCGUCCGCGACAUCAAGAAACGGCGGCGCGUCGCGGAGCAAGACAACUGGAAGAUCACGCCUUUCGUCAAAGAUCUGGGAUUCGGUGAGGCACCCAUACUCCGGGGGCUGACGGAGGAGAACCUCGUCGGGCGCGGGGGAUCGGGGCGCGUGUACCGCGUCGCCUACACCAACCGGCUUAACGGCCGAGCCGGCGCGGUGGCCGUAAAGCAAAUACGGACCGCCGGGAAGCUCGACCAGAAGCUGGAACGCGAAUUCGCGUCAGAGGCUGGCAUCAUCGGCAACCUCCGGCACAACAACAUCGUCAAGCUCUUGUGUUGCCGCUCCAGCGCCGAGUCCAAGCUCCUCGUGUACGACUAUGGACAACGGCAUCCUGGACAGGUGGCUCCACGGCGACGCCCUCGUCGCCGGCGGGCGCCCCAUGGCGAGGGCGCGGUCCGCGCGGCGCGAGCCGCUGGACUGGCCGGCGAGGCUCAGGGUGGCCGUCGACGCCGCGCAGGGGCUGUGCUACAUGCACCACGAGUACGAGCCGCCCAUCGUCCACCGCGACGUCAAGACGAGCAACAUCCUGCUGGACUCGGAGUUCCGGGCCAAGAUCGCCGACUUCGGGCUGGCCACAGGAUGCUGCUGCAGGCCGGGGCGCCGGAAACGAUGUCCGCCGUCGCUGGCUCGUUCGGCUACAUGGCUCCUGGUAAGGAUUCGAACUUGCUGCUUUCAGUGAAUUUCUGUCCCAUUUCUACAAAUGCCACGUGUUCUCGUGUUGCCGGACCUUAGAUUGGGCCUUUUGAUGCUUAUCUGCAGAGUGUGCUUACACCAAGAAGGUGAACGAGAAGGUAGACAGCUUCGGUGUCAUUCUCCUGGAGCUCACCACCGGAAAGGAGGCCAACAACGGCGGCGAGCACGGCUGCCUGGCGGACUGGGCACGGCGCCACUACCAAUCAGGAGGGAGCAUCGCCGACGCCACAGACAAGAGCAUCAGAUACGACGGGUACUCUGACGAGAUCCAGGUUGUCUUCAGGCUCGGCGUGCUCUGCACCGCCGAUAUGCCGUCGUCGCGGCCAACCAUGAACGACGUGCUGCAGAUCUUGGUCAAGUGCAGCGAGCAGACGUACCACAAGGGCAAGACGGAGCGUGGCCCAGAGUAUGAGGUGGCUCUUCUACCCAAACGCGGCAGUCGCCGGAAACAGCUUUCAAACGGCUCGGGGAUUUACAUCGAAGAGAAGAUGACAGCAUUGUCUGAAGAAAGGAACUGACCACUGCAUAUGCCAGUAAGCAGCUUGUGACAUCGUCAGUGAACUGCUUGCUAUAGUGAUACUUCACAUUUUAGCAGAGUACAGCGGAGAAUUAUGCCUCUAAUCUUUUUUUUUCUGAGGAGCUAAGUAUCUUUAUAUUAAAAAGAGAAUAUAAAUAGAAAAAAUCAGUCCAUUGGAAGCAACCACUCUAGCUCACCUAGGAGAAUAGAGAGAUUGCAUAAACAAGCGAAGAAAAAACCGUCACCAGACCUUGACCCUGCACGGCUGGACUAGGGACAUGCAUAGUAUAGAGCAGGGCUUGUGGUUAGCCAAACCGUUCUGUGUAUUGAUACUGCAAAUCUGUAUUAAAUCACACACACAUUAUACGUUCCGACAGAAGAACUAGCAAACAUUACGAUUAUACUCCCUCCGUUCUUAAAUAUAUAACGCUAUUGACUUUUUCAUUUGUUUGACUAUUCAUCUUUUCUACAAAUAUUUUUGCAAAUAGAUAAAUCUACGAGUUAAAUCUAAAGUACAUUUCACAAUAGUCAUAAUGAUACACAUUUUACUUUAGUUAACUAACUCAUUCAAUAGAUAUUGAUGGUCAAAGUUGGAGUAAAAAGCCAACAGCAUCAUAUAUUUAAGAAUGGAGGGAGUAAUUUAUUUCUGAAAUAAAGGCAGGAGAUGGAGCUCUGCUUAUCCAUUCAGAAAUUAGUACGAUUGAAUGAUUUUGUCUCCUUCCAGUUUUUAUUGUAAAACACAGAAUAUUACACGGAUAGGCACUGAUUGUUAUCCGGAAGAAAAUGAAUUUUUAUAUUUCAAAAGAAAAGGCCCAAUUUGCACCCUCUAGCUAGCACGAUAAUCCAAUUUUCAGCUAAACUGACCAUGGGCCGGCCCAAAGGCACAGGAAUUUGGCCCGGUCUAGGCAUGGCGGCCGUCGUGCUCGUGCUAACCCGACCCACACCAUGGGCCGUGCUUGGGCCGUUGCCUCAGCCCACGUACUGGUCCGGCACGGCCUGCCCAUUUGGCCCGUCGGGAUUAAGUGGGCGGCCCAUCCUAUUAAGGCCCACUCGACCGCAUAUAAAACCCCCCACCCCCAAACGGCCAAACCCUACCUUCCUCUUCGUGUCCCGCGCCCUUCGCCGCCGUCACCUCCCCCGCGCCCUUCGCCGCCUCUCGCGCCCGCCGGCCGCUCACGCCCUCCGCCGCUUCCCCCCGCCGCCUCCCUCACGCCCUCCGCCGCAUCCUCCCACCGCCUCCCUCGUGCCCUCCGCCACCUCCCGCGCCCGCCGGCCUCUCGCUCCCCUGCCACCUCCCCCGCGGCCCUCUGCCGCCUCCUACACCCGCCGGUCCCUUGCCGCAAUUGGGGAAGAUGGUGGCCUGCACGGCGGCGCGCGCAAACGUCCUGUCGUCCCUCGGCGGUGGGAGCUGCGGCACGAGUGGGCGCCUGGGCAGAUCCGGGAAAGGUCUAUGGGCGCCCUGACGACGAGGUGGUCGAAGUCAUCGGGGCUAUCGAACUCGACGACGACAGGCGCUACGGGCGUAUGAGCAGAGGAAGGGUGAAUUCUGUGCCGCAGGCUGGCACGAGCACGGUGAGGCCGUUAAGGCCUGCCAGGCCAGCGUGCCAGCACGGCCCACCUAAGAAGGCUGCGGGUCAUGCCUGGACCGCUCCUUCGGCACAUGGGCCGGCACGGCCUGGCACUAUUACCGUGCAAGCCUAACCGUGCCGGGCCUAACCGUGCCAGGCCAAAUCGUGCUCGUGCCAGGCCGGGUUGGGCUACCUGUUUGGCCAUCUAUACAUCCAACGGUUGAAACCAGAUAAAUUUUAUCCUUUAGCUGGUUUCAAAGAUGUUUUUUUGUUUUAUUAGACAUUUAAAAAAAAUCUGAUUUAAUCUUGUUGGGGGGAAAUAUUAACGAUCCCCUAAAUACCACUUAAAGGAGCAGACGCGAAGGCCCGGGCCCACCUAAGCAUAAUCAAAACUCCGCCUCGCCCGACCGCGGCCUCAGGGUCAGGAACGCCCGACCCCCCUCCACGAGGUUUCCGCCUCGUCCGACUGCGGCCCCAGGGUCGAAGGCGCCCGAUCCCUCGCCACAAGGUUCCGCCUCGUCCGACCCCAAGCGCAGGGGUCGGGCUCGCUGGGGCCCCCAGGGCAGGCAUCCCCCUCGGAUGUGGACCAGGUGGGCAAGAUAAACAAAUCUUGCGGGUCCCCCCCCCCAUCGGCCUCGUCAUAAAUGCGCUGCGGGCCUGGCAGAGGGAGGAAUGACCACGCUCCUCACACAACCCGCCGCAAGUACCCAUGCACGACCAUACUGUACAAGCUACAGCGCUGGCGGCUCACUCCCAUUCGCCGCAGGGUACUCAUGGCCUGCGCCGACCGGAGCGGAGGAGAGACUCGCCUGUCCUCGAGCCCCGCGCACCCUCGGGUCCCGUGCGCCUGGCAUCUAGGAUGUGACGCCCUCUCUCCAGGAGCCAUCAUCAGAAUGGCAGCAUCCACCGUCCUCCCCAACGGACACCGGGAUAACGACGAAACGCCCUCAUCAUAACCCGACGCCUACGGAUGCCGAAGGAGCUAUCUGUAGGGUGCAACGACAGUUGGCGCACGGCCGCCUCCCCCUCCGGCAUGCACGCCGGCGCUCGCCAGGAGCCGGCGGAGGCGUCGGGCGUCUAGGAACUUGUUCCUCCCAUCCUGCCGUAUUUUUUACCGUACUACGUUCACAUUUUACGGUCCUCUUCGCCCGAUCCCAACUGUAACUCUGGCCACUCCCCUUGCGAUAUAAAAGGAGGAACACAGGGCCGGAGGGGGGGAUCGGCUUCUUCCCCCUCAAGCCACAGCAUGCUAGUACGCUCCCUGAGAACAUAGGCUCAAAGAGACUUGGGACCAGUCCCUCUCUCGUCGGUCUGUAACCCCUACUACAGAACCCCGCGUGGGCAAUACGAGCAUCCACGAUACUGGACGUAGGGCUCCCUUUGCUCGAACCAGUCUAAUCCGUGUCUCCCACGCCACCAUCUGAGGCCUUACGCGCAUAAAAGAAAUUUACUAGUCUAAGUCUUGAUCCGCCAAUCUUGACAACGACAGUUGGCGCGCUAGGUAGGGGACCUUUGCGCAUACCCUCCCAGCCUCAGAUGGCCAAUUACGAUAGUAGCUUUGCUCCGGGCUCCCUGAUCCGAUUCGGGAGCCUGGACUUCCUCGCCACCGGGGAAGGGAUCAAGCUGAUCCCUGUCCUCAUCCUGCCCGCUCGCCCGCCUGCCCCCGGCCCCGCCGCCGGGACAGCGGUGAGCGGCCGCUCGCAUACCGGAAGGACCUCGCCAGGGGGACGGCCCUUCGGGCUACGCAAUGCCACGGGGGCCUACGGACGCCUCCUAGCGCGGUCCAUGACCGCGUCGCCCGCGAGCAACGAGCUCGUAGGUGCGACAAGGACGAUCUCCGACACCGGCUCCAGCAGCGGGAGCCCCCACCCCUCGCGUGAGUGCCUCGUGGUCGACGAGCACUCUGAGGGAUCCAACAGCAACGAUGCCGAGGAGAGACAAAGGGCUGCCCCUCGCGCGCCGCGGCUAUGACCGGAGCCUUACCAAGGGCACCAGAGUGCUCUCAGCAACGAGAGGCGCGCGCGGGCGCCCGCCAAGAAGUCGAGCACCCCCACCACGAGGGAGGAGCGCGACAACGGGCGCGAGACGUCCAGCGACGCAUCUGCGCGGAUGAAGAGCGUCCGCAGCUUUUCGCCCGCGCCAGCCAAAACGUCGCAGCCGCGGCGGUGUUGCUCCGACAGCUCCCCGAACCAGCGAUGCCCGAGGAGCGACGGGCACGCCAAGAGAUGCGCGACCUGCUCGAAUGCGCCGCCGUCCAGCAGGCGGAAAGCUCCGCGUCCCGGCGACGCGGGCAGAAUGCCAGCAGGGCGACGCCCGACGCGCCCCCGGAAAGGCGGGGGGAAUCAGUCCAUCUACCCCCUCCUGGGGCGAAUCAGGCCGCGUCCGCCCGACGGACUCCACCACCCGCGGGAGGCGAGGCUCGAUCCGUCCACCAGCGCGUCGGCCUCGUCCGCGACGCCCGCGACACCCUAAACGCGCGGAGACGCUCCCGCGCGGACAGGGAGGACGGGGUAGAUCGAGGCUACCACGUCCACCGUGGCGGGCGCUACGACAGCGGGGAAGACCGCAGCCUGAGCCCCGGUCCGGCUGGGCCCCGGGCCUUCUGUGCGCGCAUCCUGAACGCGCCUUUUCCGCCGCGCUUCAGGCAACCCAUGAGUAUAGCCAAAUACUCAGGGGAGACGAAUCCUGGAGUGUGGCUCAGCGAUUACCGGCUUGCAUGUCAAGCCGGCGGGGCGGAUGAUGACCUGUUUAUCAUCCGCAACCUACCCCUCUUCCUAGCCGACUCAACGCGAGCUUGGCUAGAACAUAUCCCUUCGGGACGAGUUCGCAACUGGAAUGACCUGAAGGAGGUUUUCAUAGGGAACUUCCAGGGCACGUACACACGCCCCGACAAUUCCUGGGACCUCCGGAGCUGUCGUCAGGGGGCGGACGAGUCCCUCCGAGAUUAUAGCCGGCGCUUCUCCAGGAAGCGCACCGAGCUCUCCAACGUCGCGGACGCCGAUGUCAUAGGAGCUUUCCUAGCAGGAACCUCCUGCCGGCCCCUCGUCCACGAGCUGGGGUGCCGAGGCCCGCGAACCACGGAGGAGCUCCUCAAUAUCGCCACUAGUUACGCCUCGGGCGAAGAGGCCGUUGGAGCAAUCUUCGACCGCUCCAAAGGCAAGGCGAAACGGGAGGAGGUUGCUGGCGAAGGCACCUCCAACCGCCAGCAGAAGAAGAAGGGCAAGUUACGGCGCGAGGCCCCCCUCGUGGCCGCAGCUGAGCGCAAGCGAGGGCCGCCGCCCCCCGAGGGCGCUCCCGGCUUCUUCGACAAGUUGCUUGAGGGACCGUGCCCGAACCACGAGUUCCCCGUGAAGCACGCCUACAAAGACUGCAACCUCAUGAAGAGAUACUUCAUGGGCAAUUCGGUGAAAGGCGACCGGAAGCGGAAGCCCGAUGAGGAAAAGAAGGGCGACGAAGAGAAGGAAGACGGCUUCCCCAAGGUGGACGGCUGCUUCAUGAUCUUCGGGGGCUCUGCGGCAUACGACACCAAGCGCCAGUAGAAGCUGGAGCGCCGGGAGGUCUACGCGGCCGAGCCAGCGACUCCGGCCUUCCUGGACUGGUCAGGGCCGGCCAUCACCUUCGACAGGACCGACCACCCUGGACGCGUCCGGCACCCGGGGCGUUACCCUCUCGUCGUCGACCCCAUCGUCGGCACGACGCGCCUCACCAAGGUGCUCAUGGACGGAGGCAGCAGCCUCAACAUCCUCUACGCCGAGACCCUCGACGCUAUGGGGAUCGACCGUUCCCGCCUCCAUCCCAGCAAGGCGCAUUUCCAUGGCGUCGUGCCAGGGAAGCAGGCGAUGCCUCUCGGGCAAAUCGACCUGCGCGUUACGUUCGGGACCCCUUCCAACUACAGGAAGGAGGUCCUCACAUUCGAGGUGGUGGGGUUCCGCGGAACCUACCACGCCAUCUUGGGACGGCCUUGCUACGCAAAGUUCAUGGCUAUCCCCAACUACACCUACCUCAAGCUCAAGCUGCCGGGGCCCAACGGGGUCAUCACCGUCGGCACGACCUUUCAGAAGGCGUACGAGUGCGACGUAGAGUGCUGCGAGUACGCCGCGGCCAUCACCGUCACGAGCGAUUCGGCAGUCCAGCUUGCGGAGGCCACCGAGGACCGGCCCGACUCCAGGCAGCCGAACAUCUCCUUCGAGCCCGCUGAAGGUAUCAAGGAGGUCCCCCUUGAUCCCGGUUGUUCCAACGGAGGAGUCGUGCGGAUCAGCGCGGCCCUAUCCCCCAAAUAGGAAAGCGCGCUCGUUGACUUCCUCCGCGCGAACAGCGACGUCUUCGCGUGGAAGCCAUCGGACAUGCCAGGCAUUCCGAGGGAAGUCGCCGAGCACUCCUUGAACAUCAGGGCCGGUUCCAAGCCAGUAAAGCAAGGAUUGCGCCGUUUCGACGAGGAAAGGCGCAAGGCCAUCGGCGAAGAGCUCCAGAAGCUUCUGGCGGCCGGGUUCAUCAAGGAAGUGCACCACCCCGAGUGGCUAGCUAAUCCUGUCCUUGUACCAAAAAAGAAUGGGAAAUGGAGGAUGUGUGUCGAUUAUAACGGUCUCAACAAAGCGUGUCCAAAGGACCCGUUUCCUUUGCCACGCAUAGAUCAAAUAGUCGACUCAACUGCCGGGUGCGAGACCCUCAGCUUCCUCGACGCAUAUUCCGGCUACCAUCAGAUCGCGAUGAAAGAGGCCGACCAGCUCGCUACCUCCUUCAUCACCCCCUUCGGUCCCUACUGCUACGUUAAGAUGCCAUUCGGCCUCAAAAACGUGGGGGCUACCUUCCAGCGAUGCAUGCUGUAGUGCUUCGGAGACCUCAUUGGGCGGACCGUUGAGGCCUACGUUGACGACAUCGUCGUAAAAUCCCGGAGGGGCGACCAGCUCGUUCCCGUCCUUGAACUAGCCUUCGAGAGGCUGAGGGAUAAGCGUAUUAAGCUCAAUCCCAAGAAAUGUGUGUUCGGAGUCCCAAGGGGCAUGCUGUUAGGCUUCAUCGUCUCCGUGCGCGUCAUCGAAGCAAACCCGGAGAAGAUAGCGGCCAUUAGAGACAUGGGGCCGAUCCGGAACAUAAAGGGAGUUCAGCGCAUCAUGGGAUGCUUGGCAGCUCUAAGCCGCUUCAUCUCGCGCCUCGGCGAGCGAGGGCUUCCUUUCUAUCGGCUCCUGAAGAAGACUGACCGUUUCGAAUGGACCAGCGAGGCCCAGGAGGCACUUGACCGACUCAAGGACCUCCUGACGAAGGCCCCGAUCCUAGUCCCGCCUACCGACGGCGAGUCCCUCCUGCUCUACGUCGCGGCGACCACCCAGGUGGUUAGCGCGGCCUUGGUGGUGGAACGAGAAGAGGAAGGACACGCUCUCAAGGUGCAACGCCCGGUGUAUUUCAUCAGCGAAGUCUUGUCCGAGUCCAAGACACGUUACCCGCAGAUCCAGAAGCUCGUCUACGCCAUCCUUAUCACAAAGAGGAAGCUGCGCCACUACUUCACCUCCCACCCGGUAACAGUCAUUUCGUCAUUCCCGUUAGGCGAAGUAAUCCGGAACCCAAAUGCUACAGGGAGAAUCGCGAAGUGGGCGCUUGAGCUCAUGGACCAGGGUAUCACCUACGUCCCCCGCACCGCCAUCAAGUCCUAGGCACUCGCCGACUUCGUGGCAGAGUGGACGGAGAUUCAAACGCCAUCGGCGCCAGAGAAGCAGGAGUAUUGGACAAUGUACUUCGACGGGUCACUGAUGAGGGCCCGCGCCGGAGCGGGUCUCGUUUUCGUCUCUCCCUUGGGCAUGCGCAUCAGGUACAUGAUCCACCUUCAUUUUCCUGCAUCUAAUAAUGUCGCCGAGUACGAAGCCCUCCUCAACGGACUCCGCAUCGCCAUCGAGCUGGGCAUCCGUCGGCUGGACAUCCGGGGCGAUUCCCAGUUGGUCGUCGAACAAGUCAUGAAGGAGUGGAGCUGCCACGACCCCAAAAUGGCAGCCUACUGCAACGAGGUCCGUAAGCUCGAAGACAAAUUCGACGAGCUAGAGCUCAACCACGUCGCAAGGCGCUUCAACGAAGCCGCCGACGAGCUGGCGAAGGCGGCAUCCGAAUGAAUGCUCGUCCCCGACGGCGUCUUCGUUAGCGACCAGUUGAAGCCCUCAAUCCGUUACCCAGAACUGCAGGGGUCGGCGAAGCACCCCCGGCCCUGGGAUCGGGACCCGAGUCAGGGGAGGUCGGCAGCGCGCCACCUGUCCGAGACCCGAGCACCAGCCCCGAGGGGGUCGACAACGCUUUGCCCAACUCGGCCCCGGGAGCCGAUCCGUCCGACCCCGGGGUCAUGGAAAUCACGGCAGAUUCCGCGGCGGGUGCCGACCCCCCGAUCGAUUGGAGAGCCCCAUACAUCGACUACCUCGUCCGCGACACGCUCCCGGCAGACAAAACGGAGGCCCGUAGGAUCGCGCGCCGCGCCAAAUCCUUCGCCAUCAUCGACCAGGAGCUCUACAAGAAAAGCCACACUGGAAUCCUCCAGCGCUGCAUCUCGAUCGAACAGGGAAAGGCGCUGAUCAAGGAUAUCCACGCCGGAGCCUGUGGUCACCACGCCGCGCCAAGGACCCUCGUUGGUAACGCCUUCCGACAAGGUUUUUACUGGCCGACCGCGGUCGCGGACGCUACCCAGGUAGUCCGCACCUGUGAAGGAUGCCAGUUCUUUGCCCGCCAGACUCACCUGCCCGCGCAGGCGUUGCAGACCAUCCCCAUCACGUGGCCAUUUGCGGUUUGGGGGCUAGAUCUCGUCGGACCCUUCAAGAAGGCACCCGGGGGCUUCACCCAUCUGCUCGUCGCCAUCGACAAGUUCUCCAAAUGGAUCGAGGCAAGACCGGUGGCGCAAAUCAGGUCCGAGCAGGUGGUCCAGUUCUUCACCGACAUCAUCCACCGCUUCGGGAUCCCGAAUUCCAUCAUCACCGACAACGGCACACAGUUCACUGGGAAGAGAUUCCUCCAGUUCUGCGACGACCACCACAUCCGAGUGGAUUGGGCGGCCGUGGCACACCCCCGCACGAACGGGAAAGUCGAGCGAGCCAAUGGCAUGAUACUCCAGGGUCUCAAGCCAUGGAUCUUCGACCGCCUUAAAAAAUUCGACGGACGGUGGGUUGCGGAGCUUCCCGCAGUCCUUUGGAGCCUGAGGACGACCCCCAGCCGGGCGACGGGCUUCACCCCGUUCUUCAUGAUCUACGGGUCAGAGGCCAUUUUGCCCACCGAUCUAGAGUACAGAUCGCCAAGGGUCAAGGCAUACGACGAACAGGGAAACCAGGCAUCAUUCGAGGACGCGCAAGAUCAACUCGAUGAAGCGCGAGACGUAGCUCUACUGCACUCGGCUAAGUACCAGCAGGCCCUACGGCGUUACCACAGCCGCAAGGUGCAAGGCUGAGCCUUCAACGUCGACGACUUGGUGCUCCGCCUCGUCCAAGACAACAGGGGUCGGCACAAGUUGACUCCCCCAUGGGAAGGCCCGUUCAUCGUCGUACAAGUUCUACGGCUGGGCACCUACAAGCUGGCAACUCCCGACGGGCAGGUUUUCAGCAACGCCUGGAACAUAGAACAGCUAAGGUGCUUUUACCCAUAGCUUUUAUUUCCAAGCCCUGCAUAAAACUUGUCUUCAAUUCCGAUAUUUCCUUUAAGCUCAGGGGUAUCCGACCCUGGCCUCGUUCCAGGGCCGCAUACCCCUCGGGGGCUACCAGUUUUGCUCCUCUGCGAAAAAAAAGAAACCCCGAGCCGUCUCGGUUCAGGCCUUUUCCUUUAAGCUCAGGGGUAUCCGACCCUAGCCUCGCUCCAGGAUCGCAUACCCCUCGGGGGCUAUCAGAGGUUCCGACCCCAGCCGCUCGGCCCUAUCUAAAAGAAACAUUUUUUCUUUUCAAACCGAACACUCCCUUUCUAGACCUUUGGGCGCAAAAAAGAGAAGGAUGCGCGAACGGUGCUCAGGCAAGUUUGAUCGGACUGCGAAAAAACCUACGCCCCAGCGGCUACGGCACCUUCGCUCAUCAAAACUUAAUGACGCACCCGACAACGCAUUCUAAACUUUCAAGCCCAAAGGAACAGCAAAGGGGAUCGGGAUCUUUCGCACAACGAAGUCAUAAACAAGCCUGUAUGGCCAUCACAAAAUAAGUUCGAAACUAACAUAAUUACAUUUUGGGCACAAGCCCGGUACAGUUAACUUGACGAGGGGUCGGCAGGAGGGAUGACCUCAUCUUCCAGGAGCUUCGCGAGGGCCUCCGCCGGCGCGGACACCGCUGCAUCAAUCCCGUCCAGCUCAGCUUCGGUGUAAUCAGCGGCGUACCCUUCACUCAUCCCGGCAAAGUUGAUGCCAGAAUAAUGGGAGCCGAAGACCCCGAAGGCUCGCCGCAUGCCGACGUGAAGCGCGUCCAUGGCGAUCUCGCGACGUCGACGGCGUACCCCAAGGACACGAGCCGGCAGAGAGCUCGACCCCUCCUCCGGAACUACGCCAAAGUCGUCACAGACGACGCGGACCGCAUCCCGCAAGGCGCCGUGCUCGCCGUGCUCCGCGUCGAGCAAACCCUUCAGCUUGGCGAUUUCGCCUGCAGGAACCACCCAGAAAAGCCCACCAAGUCAAGAACAGAACACAAAAUGUCACGGGAACGCGGGAACGGAAAAAAAAAGCCUCACCGUCGGCCCAGGCCUUCAACUCGCGCUCCCGGUCGGCUCCUUGAGACACGGCGGACUGGAGUCCCUGCACUUGCGAGCGAAGGCGACCAGUCUCCGCGCUAAGGGCUUCACGCUCCCCCCUCAGCUGUGCAAGCUCCCCGGCAUCACGACGGGCCCUCUCAGCGGCAGCUUGAAGCUCCUCGGCGUCGCGGCGGACCCUCUCAGCGACAGCUUGGAACUCCUCGUGGUCGAGGCGGGCUUUCUCGAUGACGGCUUGGAGCUUGGCCUCCGAUCACCGCGCCUCCUCCAACGCCGCCCCCUCACGCCUUUGCAGGUCCCGAAUGACCCCCUGGGCGGCAGUGACUUGCAGGGACAGGUCCCUGGUGCGCUCCCUCUCCGCGUUGAAGCGCUCCCAGAGACCCUGCUGCAGCCGAAGGAAAUCAGAUUUCCCCCGACUGCCCUCUUGGAGGGCCUGCAAAGCAACGUGCCAUUAGAAAAAAAAAAGCAAAAGGGAGGUGCUGAUCACCAACAGUAGGAGCAACAUACCUGGCUGCCAGGGAGGACGGUGUUACCCAGAACCCCCAACGCCGAAGACAGAGCCGCCUCAACGUGGGCAAGGCCGCCCUGCAUCGCCUGCCACUUGUGCCACUCAGUGGCGUCGUCCAGCGUGAAGAGAUGCCUCGGCGGGUCAUCGCGGGAUGACCAGCGAAGGACAGACCCCCUCCACGCCCUGGGAACGGAGGGAGCCGAGGCCGAGGCAGGGGCCGAUCCUGACGCUGCCGUCAAGGUCGGCACCAUUGCACUAGAAGCCGCCGAGUUUACUGACGGCCCCGGCACCUGCACGCUCGUCGCCGCCGAGGCCGCCGGCGGUAUCCCAGUGGGCCCCUCCGCCUCCGCCGCCGGAGCCACUCCCGCGGGGGUAAUUGGGGCGGAGGCCCCCGCCUCCGUCACCGUUGCCUCCGCCGCCGCGCUUUCGGGGGCAGGCGUUCCCUCCGCCACCGAUCCCGCCGCGGCUGCGGGGGCAUCCGCCCUACCUCCCGUCGCCGCCGUCUCCUCUGCCUCGUCGGCGUCGAAGUCGAUCACCUUCCCGGCCUGAGAACCCGGGGGGAUCGUGCCCUGCGCUGUAGGGGCGACUGGGGGGACCGAAGGCGGAGUAGGGUCCGCUCCCCCUCCCACGGCUGACACCGCCGUCGCUCCGCCGGCCGCCACCACAGGGGCCGCCUCCGCGGAGGGGUCCGCGGCCUCACCAGGGACCCCGCCGCUCGCCGCGGGCGGGACCGCGGUCCGCCCCCCAGAGGAGGUUGACAACCGCAACGCCUUCUUAGGCACCAGCUGCAGGGCAAGGCCACGAGGGGCGGCGCUGCAUAUCGACAAACAGACGUCAGCACAAACGAGCGUGAGAAGAGGAGAGGAACGAGGCGCAAGGAAGGCCAACUUACGUCCUUGAAGCACAAGGGCGGCGCGCGCGCUUCGACUCAGAGCCCGACGCCGACCCCGGGGCAUCUGGCAGCGGCCGCUUGUCGCCACUUCGCUGCUCUCCAGUCGCGGGCACGGCGGUGGAGGCAGUCUCUGCAGAUCUCCGAGGAGCACCCUGAGCGGACUCCUGGGGAGCGCCCCGCGCCGGCUCUGAAGUGGCGGCGGGGGCAGGCUCCGAGGACCCCCGAGGGGCGCUCCGCGCCAGCUUUGGGAAGGAGCCCCGUGUCGACCCCUGGGGGGCACCCUUCACCGACCCCUGGGGAGCGUCCCGCGCCCGCUCCUGGGAGGCACCCCGCGCCGGCCCCUGGGGGGCGUUCCGCGUCGACUCCUGGGGGGCGUCUCGUGCCGGCUCCGAAGCGGCGGCGGGGGCAGGCUCCGAAGACCCCCGAGGGGCGCUCCGUAUCGACCCCUGGGGGGCACCCCUUGCCGACCCCUGGGGAGCGUCCCGCGCUCGCUCUUGGGACACGCCCCGCGUCGGCCCCUGGGGGGCGUCCCGCGUCGUCUCCUGGGGACACGCUGUACUGGCCCCUGGGGCGCAGCCCCAGGGCCUGGUGGAGCCGAAGCCCGGGCGGGCGCCUCCUCCACUUCACCUCCCGCGGCCGUCCGCGGGGGUGCCUCACGAAUGGCGAGGGCGCCCGAUCGGAAGGAGGAAAUCAGCUCCUCCUCAUCAUCAUCUUCCUCAUCUUCAUCCUCUUCAUCAUCGUCGUCAUCAUCGUCGUCGUCGUCAUCGAACACGACCGACCCCCUCCGCCGCCGUUGGAACUCCUUAGCGGCCUUCUUCCUCUUCUUCGCCAUCUCGAUGUCCUUCCGGCGCUUCUGCGCCUCGGCGAGGAGACGGUUGUGCGUCCGCCGCUCAACAUCUUCCGGCACCGGCGGGAGCGAGUGCGCGACCCGGGUUAGCGGACCCUACAAACGCAAAGCAGCUCCACGUCAGAGUGACAAUCGCAAGACACGAAGAAAGGAGGAGGACGCCCCAACUCCUUACCAGAUCUAUGAGCCCGCAUCCGGGCGCAUCGGCGGGUGCCCGGGAAUCGGGUACUCGACGUCCUUGUCCUCCAGCGCCUCCCGAAUCCGUUGCCGGAUCUCGGAAGCGACGAGCGCACCCGUCGCCAAGGCGGUGCCCUCGGUCGGCGCGUCGGGGGUCAUGGCGGCAAGCGGUCGGAUUCAGAGCAUCAGUGGCGCCACCCGUCGGGUGUGGUACGCUCCGAUGACCCCGGCGCCGGUGAGCCCGUCCCGCUUCAGCCGCUCGAUGGCCUGCAGCAGGUCGAAGAACCGCUUCUUGUCCUUCUCCACUGGCCCGUACGCCCACACCUCCGGCGCCGCGUCGAUGGUACGGCCGGUGAAAGCCGGCAGGGGGGAGUUCGGGUAGUUCUUCACAUAGAACCACUGGUUGUGCCACCCCUUGUGGGACGCCGAGGUCUUCAUCGUCAUGUUCUCCUUGGAGCGGGUAUGACGAAGGUGGAUCCCGGCGCACCCGAUCGGCACCGGAGGUGACCGCUGCUGGCUCCCUCGCUUCUCCGUCUUCUGGUACAGGCUCACUGUGAAAAAGUAUUUCCACAGCGAGAAGUGGGGCUCAAUGCCUAGGAAUCCCUCGCACAGGGCGACGAACGCCGCAAUGUGCUGGAUCCCAUUGGGUUUGAGGUGCUGGAGCUCGAGCCCAUAGUAGUGGAGGAGCCCCCGAAAGAAGCGGCUCGAGGGAGAGGCGAACCCCCGCUCAUGGAAGUGAGCGAAGGAGACGAUGUAGCCAGAGAGAGGCUCCGGCACCUGCUCCGGGCCCGACAGCAACCACUCAGCCGCCUCCGUCUUCUCGCAGAGGAGGCCUUUUCGCACCAGGCCCUCGGCGCGCGAGGAGGUGAAAUGGGAGAUCCCCCAGGAACCCAUCGCCGGAGGAGGGAGAUCAACGGAGGUGAGAAGAAAGGGCACGGCUUGGAGCAAAGGAAACGAAGCGGGCACGGACAAACUGAACGCUAGGCUGGAGGGCGGAAAGGCUCGAAUGCAGAAGGCGGGCGGAACCGGCGCGGCGGGCUCCCGUUUUUAUAGGAAAGGUACGGGAGAAGCCAAAUCGACGCCCCGGCCGCCAUAAAUGCGGCGCCAGGUACGCCCCUGCCACGCCCGUUUCCUUUUCGAAAACCGCGCGCACGGCCGGCCGCGAAAACAUCCUAUCCUCCUCGAUUCGCGGGAUGGCGCUUCCCAUAACUCCACCUCCCGGAAGGCACGACGUCCCCCACGUUCGGCCCAGACGUCACGACCGCUCCGUUCUGGCCCAAGGCCCACCGAAAGGUAAGAAAGGGAUACGGGGCUGAAAACGCCCCUACGGCCCAUUACGGUCCAGAGGUUCGAAGGCUGGCCCACCGCGGGAUCGACAGCUGCCUCAGGAUAUCUCCCGAGCAAGGGGUGAGAAGGGACGGGUCCACUAGCGGCCAACACCCAGGCAAGCGAAAGCCAAGGGCGUCCCGACCUCACGUUCGAGUCCCGUCCGGUAUAAAGUUCAUGGUUUUUCCACGGGGAAAGGCAACGAGCCCCCGGAUUCGGCCGAACGGACCCGGGAACUAUAUGAACUGGCCGGCGGGAAAUUGUAGUACGCCACCAGCUUGGCCCGAGCCGGACCCCCCCGAACGGGGACCGGGACUCCACUCGAACCUACCUGUUCGCAGCUCAAAGCGAGCACCACGGUUCGUCCAACUAGGAUAACGUGGCACGGCUCAACCCCUCCGUCCUAGCGAACGGACGCUUGAGGGGCAACGACCAAAAGUCGACCUGGCCUCCCGACCGGUCUCCCGCAACGAGCAGGGGCUCGGGGGCUAGCAUCGCAACCAACGACCAUGCGUAUGGUCACGAUUCCCAGGCUCCCCGGCCAAACCGGGAUGAAGCAAGCGCACCAUAAACAAAAUCCACGGAGAAACGGCGAAAGAAGCCUCCGGAGGAGCACUUUUUGCUCCACCACAGGCUCGGGGGCUACUGUUGGGGGGAAAUAUUAACGAUCCCCUAAAUACCGCUUAAAGGAGCAGACGCGAAGGCCCGGGCCCACCUAAGCAUAAUCAAAACUCCGCCUCGCCCGACCGCGGCCUCAGGGUCAGGAACGCCCGACUCCCCUCCACGAGGUUUCCGCCUCGUCCGACUACGGCCCCAGGGUCGGAGGCGCCCGACCCCUCGCCACAAGGUUCCGCCUCGUCCGACCCCAAGCGCAAGGGUCGGGCUCGCUGGGGCCCCCAGGGCAGGCAUCCCCCUCGGAUGCGGACCAGGUGGGCAAGGUAAACAAAUGCUGCGGGUCCCUCCCCCGUCGGGCUCAUCAUAAAUGCGCCGCAGGCCUGGCAGAGGGAGGAAUGACCGUGCUCCUCACACAACCCGCCGCAAGUACCCAUGCACGACCAUACUCUACAAGCUACAGCGCUGGCGGCUCACUCCCAUUCGCCGCAGGGUACUCAUGGCCUGCGCCGACCGGAGCGGAGGAGAGACUCGCCUGUCCUCGGGCCCCGCGCACCCUCGGGUCCCGUGCGCCUGGCAGCUAGGAUGUGACGCCCUCUCUCCAGGAGCCAUCAUCAGAACGGCAGCAUCCACCGUCCUCCCCAACGGACACCGGGAUAACGACGAAACGCCCUCAUCAUAACCCGACGCCGACGGAUGCCGAAGGAGCUAUCUGUAGGGUGCGACGACAGUUGGCGCACGGCCGCCUCCCCCUCCGGCAUGCACGCCGGCGCUCGCCAGGAGCCGGCGGAGGCGUCGGGCGUCUAGGAACUUGUUCCUCCCAUCCUGCCGUAUUUUUUACCGUACUACGUUCACAUUUUACGGUCCUCUUCGCCCGAUCCCAACUGUAACUCUGGCCACUCCCCUUGCGAUAUAAAAGGAGGAAGACAGGGCCGGAGGGGGGAUCGGCUUCUUCCCCCUCAAGCCACAGCACGCUAGUACGCUCCCUGAGAACAUAGGCACAAAGAGACUUGGGACCAGUCCCUCUCUCGUCGGUCUGUAACCCCUACUACAGAACUCCGCGUGGGUAAUACGAGCAUUCACGAUACUGGACGUAGGGCUCCCUUUGCCCGAACCAGUCUAAUUCGUGUCUCCCACGCCACCAUCUGAGGCCUUACGCGCAUAAAAGAAAUUUACUAGUCUAAGUCUUGAUCCGCCAAUCUUGACAACGACAAAUCUAAAAAUCCAUAACUAAUUAAUUUUAAAUCAUAAAAGUUUGAAACUAUUACCCAUCAUCUUUUUCUAGAAUGUUACCUUUUAUGUUGGUUUUUUUGAGUUAUUUGCAUAUUAUUGUCCCCAUCUCUAGUGUUUUAUUGCUUGUAGUCAAACCUACUAUUUAUUUAUUGUUGUUUUGCAUUGUAUGAUUAUUGGAUGCUAUGCGAUACAAAGAUAAUUGUUCAACAACCAUAUGCAUCAUGAAGAAAUUUCCGGAUACGAUUGAUAUUAGUACAUUAUUAACUUCUUAUCAAGAAAUAUCAAUGAAGUGUUUUAUAUGAAUAUUUUUAAUGCACCUUGAGUUUUUGGAUAACCUUUUUCAUAAAAGUUAAUUAGAUGCAUUCUUAACUAAAUAAGCCAUUUGGUAAUUUUUCAAAAAUGUUUAUUUAGGUAACAGAAAAUUUAUUUAUUUAUUCUGGAAAAAGUUUUUUUUUAACGAAGUUAGCAAGGAAAGCACCUACCUAUUCUUUAAUUGUUAUUUUAGAUCCGUUUAAUUCGCUCCCACGAGAAGUUGAAUAUAGACCUGCAGGAUGUUACUCAGGUGCUCUAACCACUAGACUAGAGUCCCUUUCGCUUCUGAAAAAGGUUUUACAAAAAUCUUUUCCCUAUUAUCUUUUGUUAAGUCUGGGAUGUUGCCGCACGUGGGAAAGAAAGAACGGGAAACAUAGACCGAGACCGCUGCUGCGCCGCCACCAUGCUUCGCCGUUGGAGGGUUAGGGUUCGGGGUUUCGGGUUAUGGGUCAUCGAUGGCGCGGCUAUCUCCGAUGUGGCUGGGAUAUAUGGGAGGUUGACGGUGGCUAGGUAGCAGGCGGUGGUGGCGGGUUGUGUGCGGGAUGGCGGGACACCACCAGUUCCGAUUUGUGGAAGACAAUAGGUGGCCUCUAGAGGCAGCGGGGGAAUCUUGGUGAGCUUCCCGCGCGGGGCUGGGUUAGGGCGGCGAAGGAUGGUGGCGGUGGAUGUGGCAGCGCGAGCCGCCGGAGAUGAUGGAGGAUGGCGGCGCGGGCGCGAGCAAAGGAGGACAGUGCGAUGGUGAUCGAGGGUUGCGACCGGCGACGCCGGAUGCAGUGGCGAGAGCCGUCGGAGCUAGAGGAGGAGGGCAGCGCGGGGGCAUGGGCGUGCGCGCUCCUGGGCUGCCAUCACUGAAGGUGACAUUGGUGAUUUUUGUCACCUUCUGUGAUAUAUAGAUAUAGACAUGCUCUAGAUAGAGGACUCCUUGGAGAGACCCCGAGAAUGGAGAUGGGCAUUUGGAGCUCUUCCAAAAUAAGGAAUCUAGAGGACUUGCUAGAAUGCAUUUUUUUUGACUUGGUCCAUUGGAGUUGUUCUAAGCCAACAACUAUUAGCAUCCUUUUAGAUAACUCUGUUAAUCUGAAAUACAACAGUUUCCUACUUUAUGUAUAAUGAGUGUCAUUGCGUCACUACGUACGAGGUCUACUUUAUGGCGGAUCUGAAGGUGUGUUUGGUUGGGAUGUGGCUUUUGGAAAAGCUACUGUGAGCUGUGGGCUGUGAAAAAGUAGCGGGGAGAAAGCAGCUGUGGGAAAAGCAGAAGACCGUUUGGUUAGAGCAGCUACGAAACUGUAGGUUGUGUAAGAAAUACCUGUAAUGCCCCUAAAGGUCUGCGGGUGUGUUUACAUGCAAAUUGCUCAUAACAAAAUAAUGUGUUCACUAAUUCACAUGUAAAUGACUAUUUUAGAAAGGAAAAAAAAUAAAUUUUAUAUGUUCUUCAUCCAUAUAAGUGAUUGGUCCACAUAAAUAGAACAAUAUCCAUCAAAAGGUUUAUACAAUGAUGUCAUCUCUCAACAUUACUGUCCUCCUCUCGCACUAACCAAAGCAUCAACUAUCCUAGCAUGAAUGAUAUUCAUGGUAUCCUCAUUCUCCAUAUCGUCACUCUCAUCUCCUUGUGUUUGUCUCGUGCCACUUGUAUAUUGUACCAAGUACUCCUACAAAACCGAGUUAGUAAGGUACAUAAUAAUACACGUAUUUCUAACUUGAUGAAGGAAUCAUGUAUACCUUUAGGAGGCACGAGAAAUAUGUCUCAAAGCAUUGUCGAGAAAAUUGAAAGAAAAGAUGAUGAACAAAGGAGGGUCAAUUCUUGUUGCUCUUUGGACUAGAGGAUUGACGAUGAUCAUUGCAGUCCUAACAAUUCUCUUGUUGCAGAACAGAGUAGCAACUUCUGAGUAGCAUAUGAUUCUUACAUCUUCCAGGCGAGGUGGCUAGUGUGCUGGAUGAAGUUGAGGUCCCUUGGCAACCUGGCAAACGCCUCCGUCAUGUCUGCAGGCAAAAUUUCCAAAAAAAACAAGAAGAUUUCAACACCACCAACAAAGCAAGCAUGUAAUCACCUGAUUAAUCAAUCAGCAAACAAUUCACAACUAGCAAUCUGUAGAAAUUAGCACGCCAUUACCGUCCUGGGUGAUGAGCGGGUAGUCGGAUGCGUUGAGGUUGACGAACCAGUCCCAGCGGCGGUGAAGGCGGAGCAGCAACGCGACGGCGUGCAGCGUGGUGGUGAGCAUGGUGGGGCCCCGGUAGGUGACGAGGUUGGGCCUGCCGACGAUCCACACGUUGCCCGCGAUCGCGUACACACCCCACCUGGACAUGAGCUCUGCCAGCCGGCAGUGCUCCUCCCCUGGACCGCAGGUAGUUGUUGGCCGGGUGGUACAGUGCCGCCAGCAGCCGCAUCGUGCGGCCCACUUCCCCUGAGGAUGCCGAGAUAAGGUAUGCGAACGAGAUCGGGUACCGCGGCGCCUCGCCGGCGGCACCGUCGAAGGCGGCCAACGAUGAGAGUGUUGACGUCGGUUUUUGACACGUGUCAGGGUCGACGUCAAGAGGAGAAGAAAGUGGCUGAUGCGGUUAAACAAGAAGCUAUGGCUAGAGAAAUCAGUCAGUAAAGCUAUAGUGUUUCAGCCGAUUAGCUAAUGAGAUAGAUGAAGACUGGCCGAUUGGAAGCUAGAAAAGCUCGGCCGAUAUGGGCCUAAAUGGGCCAAGGUGGUAACAAGAUGAAGAUAGGAUUGGCCCAUAGAGGAUUGGAUGGUGUUCGACUCCGAUACAAGUUGUAUCCGUAUGUAAAUAUUUGUUGCUUUGAAUAAGAAAUAGAAUAUUGAGUCAUAGUCGGUUAGGAAACGAGUUGUAACAGGGUAUAAAUAGGUGCCCCGUGAGGCUGGCAAAAACAUCAACAAACAUCAAUACAAAUCUACUUUUUCAUGCAACUUUACUUUCAUGUCGGCGACUUUGCCAAACCCUUUUCUUUUCACGAGUUCGUGUGAGUUGGCAGGGCUGCAUCAACGUGAUCUCCGAGCAAUUUGUAAGUUCCGCGUUUCGAGUAAUAUAUAAGCUUUAACUUUGGGCGUAUCGCUGUUGUUUUGUUUAGAUUUAUUCACUAGUUAUCGAUAUUUGCUAGAAUUAUAGGUUUUAUUCUCCGGUGGAAAGAUUGUGCCUUUGCCUGUAUUUCUCUUGCACUAAACUCAGGCGAUACCUAUUAUCGGCGGAAUGUGUGGUCGCGUGUAAAGUUGAUGUUGUCAAGUAUAUGUUAUCACUGCCGAUCUUGAAGGGAAGGAUUGGAAAAUGUAUUCUGGCACUCUCAGAAUUCGAUCUCAGGUACGAAUCGGCCAAGGCCGUCAAGGGUCAGGUAAGGCUGAUUUCGUCACCCAACACUGUGGAUCAGAAAUUACUGUCGUUGAGCCGGCUCCAUGGACUCUGUACUUCGAUGGAUAUUCGUGUGGGAUUGGAUCAGGAAUCGACAUAAUUCUUAUAUCGCCUCGGGGGGCAAGUUAUGAGUUCUCUCUGCCGAUUGAGGCUUCCGCUACUAAUAAUCAAGCAGAAAAUCGGGCUGUCUUAAAGGGCAUCCAAUUAUUGAGGGAGGUCAAGGCUGACGUGGUAGAAAUAUUUGGGGAUUCCAUGAUUAUCGUGGAUCAGUUGAUUGCAAAGUGUGAGUGCAAGGAUGAUAUUCUAAGGAUUUAUUAUGAGGAAUGCCUCCGGUUGCUCAAAGAAUUCAAGACCGUAACUAUUGAACAUAUCCCUAGGGAUUACAAUGAGGAAGCCAAUAGACUUGCCCAGCACGCUUCUGGCUACUGGCCGAUUCAUGGCGCUUUCGCUCUAGAGCUGGCGGCCGACAACUGGAGGAAGGAGAUCGCCGAUUAUUUAAAGGAUCCAUCCAAGAAAGUUGAUCGGCAGAUACGCUUCCAAGCCACAAAGUAUGUGUUACUUGAAGAUGAAUUGUUUUAUCGGACGAUUGAUGGAGUGUUUCUCAAGUGCCUUAGCAUUGAGGAAGCAAAGAUUUUGAUGGGUGAGAUUCAUGAAGGUCUAUGUGGGACCCAUCAAUCGGCUUUCAAGAUGAAGUCGAUGAUUAGAAACAAUGGGUAUUACUAGCUGACAGUACUUGAAGAUUGUUUCAAAUAUUAUAAAGGCUGUCAGGAUUGUCAAAAAUUUGGCAACGUGCAACGAGCCCCGGCCUCGGCUAUGAACCCGAUAUUAAAGCUGUGGCCAUUUAGAGGCUGGGUAAUUGAUCUCAUCGGUUAGAUCUAUCUGCCGUCAAGCAAAGGGCAUAAGUUCAUAUUGGUGGCGAUUGACUACUUCACCAAGUGGGUUGAGGCGGUUCCUUUGAAUGUUGUGAUGUCGGCCAACAUGAUCGAAUUCAUGAAGGAGCACAUCAUUUAUCGAUUUGGUAUUCCUCAGACCAUCAUGAUUGAUCAGGGGUCAAUGUUUACCUCAGGGAGUUCGAGGAGUUCACUGCCAGUAUGGGAUUAAGCUGUUGAAUUCUUCUCCGUAUUACGCUCAGGCCAAUGGUGUGACGACCCCGGUUAAAUCUUUCGAGUUAAUCUUAAUACGAGCCCCAAAAUUCCUCUGUCUCAGUUUUUCCCGAGCAGGAGUGCUCCACUCCAGUUCCUGUUCCUGACCCGUGAAGACUCUAACUCACCCCGCCAGUUCCUUUUAAGUCUCAACAACAGUGUCCCUUUCAAUCUUGAACAGAGGAAAGACCGAGACUGACGGAUGGACCCGCAAUCUUUUCCCCGGAUCUCCCGAGGCAUACGCACUCGAGCGGCCUGCACCGCUUCAGAGCUCCCCCGCCGCGUGGCUCAACUUCUCCGACGCCCGCCGCUUCACCCAAUCGCCGGCCGGGACAGGAUAGAUUCUCACGCCCUCCUCCCCAAUCGCAGCGGAAGCCCCUCUGCAACCCUUUCUGCUGCGCCUCGUCUCGCUCGCGCCCUCGCCGGCCGCGCCUUGGUGCUCCGACACCGCUGUGGCAGAGCUUUGCCGCUUGCUGCAUCCAAACUACCUCGCAGCUCACGCCCGUCAUCAUCUCACUGGAUCCCCGACUGCAAGGCCCGAUGCCUUCCGACUUUUCCACCGCCUCUACACAGUCGCGCUCGCCUGCGCAGCCGCAGCCUGCCUAUCUUUUCACCGGUUGCAACCUCGCUUGUAGCGCCGUUCUCCCUGUCACACCCAUCAGAUCCGCCGCAUGACGACGCCCGCCUCCGCCAAACCUCAACUACCGGCAAAACCGCGCCUGCGCCGCCUUGUCUCCCGUGCCCAAUAGCCAAGGACCCUAUCUCCGAAAUCCUGUUCCGCCGCCCAUCGACGCCCAGUCGCCGCCAUGGCAGCGCACUCCAUCCUUUUCUUCCGGUCUUCGUGCUACUCCAACUCCCUCUCUCUUUCGCGCAGCUAUAAAAAGGAAUGCCAGAGCCCUACUGGAGAUCCCUUCACCAUCGUUGCCUCGCCGCCUUGUUCCUGAGCGCCGCCACCUAAGUUCUUGAGGAACUCUCAUCUUCGCUCAACACCCGCCCCUCCCAAUCCACCAAGCCGCCUGCUCCUCCACGCUAUGCUAGAGCUUCCUUGUUGCUCACAAGAAGCUCCGCCGCCGCCGGAGCACCGCCGGACAUAGCCGCCACCAAAGCCUUAGUGCUUAAGACCUUCCGCCCAAGUCUACUCCUUCCCGACCCCAAAGCUUCACCUAUAAACCAAAGGUAAGCUGCCGACCCCUUACCGGUUCGCCCGACCCUACCUGUUCGCCUGACCCUACCUGUUCGCCCGACCCCUCUUUCCAUCUCGCCCGACCCUGUCUGUUAGCCGGCCCUUAUCUUCUUCGCCCGAGGACUCGGCUGUACUCUUUUCCUUGACCCGAGGGUAUCUGUGUAAGAUUUCGGGGACUUCUCUGUAAUAGCUUUGAGGACCCCAAACACAUUAAGGCUUAUGGGUCAGAUCAUAAGUUCUUCCAAUUCGACCCUUGGUCUUGUUCUCUAUCCACUGAAGCUUGAACCCCCACACUCUUUCCGUAGCUUUGCUACAAGUUUCUGGGCUAAGACUUGCGAGUGUUGCUGUUGAAAUAACCGUCUAGACACUAACUCCAGCAUUGCAUUCGUGUAGAGUUUCAUCUUGCUGACGGCGUCUACGAACUACACCCGGUGCCAGAAGACGGAGCUGUAGCUGAGCUACCAGUUCCAGAAGCCGAAGUCGCACCAGCUGAAGACCCGCUUCCCUCCCCUCCACUUGAAGGCAAGUCCCGGAGCAUGAACCCCAAAGUUUCCCAAACUUGCGCAUGCCUUCUUUCUCAUGUUUGUGCAUUUACGUAUAGGAGUUGUUUGCAACCUUAGAUGCAUGGUAUAGUUCCUUGAUCGGAACACUAGUUGUUGAAUCGAGUAGUUGCUAUGCUUAAAUAGGAAGUGGUAAAAGUCGAGUGAUUUCCUGUCACUCGCGAGUUAUAGGAGUUGGUUGUUCUCCUUCUGUUACAACUAUAAGGACGAUGGAUGGGGCAAGGUUUUGGUUAACUCUUUUGCUAGUCGGCUGAUCCCCCCGUCUGUCUAUGGAAUCUGUUAAGGCCCGAUAGUGGUGGUGUUCGUGAUCAAGUGUUUGAAAGUACUAAUCUCAUACCUAGUAUGGGAUGGGGAAGCCUAGUACCUGAUUGAACUAGGGCGUGGCUUAUACCCCUGCUGUCCCUGGAACGAGGUUCCCAUGGUGCAUCAUGUGGGUGCAAGUGCGGUCACAGUACGGUAGAGGCCGGGAUUGUGGAGCAUUGCAUGCCAAGGGAAGUUGGACCUGACACGUGCCUGGGAAUUGAUGGGGACGGCUGACACAGGAAGCGACCCUUGUGGUGCGCGGAUGUCGUGAGAUUAGGUUUGCCAUGCAUGGUUAAGAAACUCGAAGGAUUCGUCUGCCUCUCACAGUUUGAGACUGCUUGAUCGCUAUGCUACACUGAUUAAUGAAAGAGUCUGAUGAUGACAUGGUCUUGAUGAGUAGCUUAUAUACAUAAAGUUGGAUCUAUGUUUGCUUAGAGUAAGAUGCCAACGUAGACUGGUUAAUGAACUUAGAAUUUGAGCUAAAACUUGAAAGCAAGGACCUAACGUAGUAGCUUUUGGCAAACAAAACCCCUCAGCCAAAGAGCCUUGCAUGUCUAGACGUGGUGGAGUAGUUUUACCACCGGUCGGUUAAGUCUUGCUGAGCGUAGCAGCUCAACCUUGUUUGUGGCUUUCUUUUCAGGUGAAGUCGCAGCUCCUGAGUUUGCUUCCGUUGGCACUUGGCCGCCCCAGCUCCCUCCGGGUUGGACGGUUGAGUGGGAUCCUUCCUCGGACGGUGAGGAGAGGGAUCAUUGAUGUCCUGAUCGGCCUCAUUAGGGACAUCCGACCCUGGCGCUAGCUUCCGCUAAUUUAGCUUUCCGCUGCUUUUGAAUCUUGUAAAACUCUGAUUUUUGUUUUUAUGUUGAACUAAAUUGUCAAACUUGUUUAACUCAGUGGAUCUGUUGUAUUCUCUGAAACCGCUCACCUUCGUGUGAGUUUCGCUAAUCCGGUCCUGUAAGUGGUUUAAUCGGAGGAAAUCCGACGGCCCUUCGAGUUAACUUGACUAAGGCAUAAGUGUCGCGUGUCAGGCGACUUAACAAUGCUUUAAUCAAGGUAAUCCGAGGUGGUUCCACCACAAAUGGUCAGGCCAAGUCAUCAAAUAAGGGGGUUAUUAAACUGAUUAAAAGGAAGGUCAAAAAACAACCAAGACGGUGGCAUACAACGCCGAAUGAGUCCUUAUGGGCUUAUCGGAUGGCUUGCCGCGGUGCCACCAAGGUGUCCCCUUAUCAGUUAGUAUAUGUGCAUGAAGCAGUAUUACCUUGGGAGUUGAAGACUGGGUCUAGACGUGUGUCACUUCAGAAUCAGUUGUCGGUUGAUGACUAUUCCGCCCUCAUGAGGGGAGAAUUGGAAGAUUUGGCGAAUCAACAGCUAAGGGCUUUGAUCAGCAUUGAGGAAAAUAAGAAAAGAGUCACCAGGUGGUAUGACAAGAAGGUCAAGGUCAAAAGGUUUUCCCAAGGGGAUUUAGUCUGGAAGUUGGUUCUGCUGAUAGUAUGGAAAAUGGUCGCCCACUUGGGAAAGGCCAUAACGGAUUAGCCAAUGUGCUCUAGGCAAUGCAUACAUACUGGAGACUUUUGAGGAAGAAGAAUUUACAAGGGCCUUGAAUGGAAGAUAUUUGAAAAGAUACUACCCUAGUAUAUGUGUAGGCGCUUAGCCGAUGAUGUGGCAUAACGGGCUUUCACGGUCGACGCGUACUGAUUCGUGUUCAUAUAGCCGAUGCAAGGGGCAUCGCCUUAAGAUUGAAAGAGGCGAAAUAGUGUAUAUAUAACUAAACCGAUCAUUAUUCGGUACACCAACUAAAUAUAUGGCCGGCAUGAUACAAGUCGCCCUUAGAUAAAAAGUACCGACACAGUUAUGGGUUACAACGAUUUAACAACGUUUCAUGUGAGCUUUAUUCAUAUCGAUUUCUUUCUGAAGUCGAUCCAAUUCGAUCUGGAGUCGGGCGUUCUUCUCCUCUAGUUCUGCCAUGUCAUCUUCAACAGCAACUUGACAGGGUAACAGAUGGCUUCUUUCGACUGAUUGCCGUGGUUGCCUUCUAGAAGCUUUAGCCUCGAUGUCAUCCACAAUCCUCUUGAUAUUCACGGGGAGGUGAUCUCUGAGUUCCUCACGAUGAGUUUGGAUCAGGUCUUUGUCAGCCUGAGUGAGCGGUUCAUCGGAGUGGAGGAUCUCAAUGGCUCGUUCAAGAUCACGGCUGAGUCGGUUUGGCUACGAGAAGAAUUGAUGAUCAAUUGACAGAGGGAUUGGUCGAGAGAUAGGAGAUUGACUUCGUACCUGAUUGACAGAGGAGGAGGAGGCCAUCUUGGUCGCUCGAUCGAAGAUUUGUAAGCGCGCGCAAGGAAUGGUUGAGUGGGUGUUUUGCGAAUGCCUUCAGAAGGGAUGCGAAGGGUUUGUACUUAUAGAACAGAAUGGCAAUGGACAAAGGUCGGUAAAAGGAGGGCAUUUAAAGAAAGCGACCGUUGAGUCAUAAAAGCUACGUGAGGACUGUUCAGACUUGCAUUUCAGACAAAAACGCCAAAAGUAUCAACGUUACACAAGAUGUUCAAAGGCUGGUUGAGUUCGUUACAACUAUCCGAGGAGAUUGUUUAUGGUCUCAAUCGCUCGCAGGCGAACUUGGUUGGCCACCUCCAACACUCGCCGAUCAUCAUCGGCUGAUCCUAAGACUUCUGGCGCAUUGCGAUGAAGAUGGAUGGCCUCGUGAGUGAGGGAUUGUCUUUCUUGUUUAAAAUCAACGAUGGCGGUUGGAAGAUCUUCAAGUUUCUUUUCUUCGGUAGCGAUAGCCUUUACGACCAGUUCCAUCUCCUUGGUGAGCUCUGCUCUGCGCCAUUUGAGUUGGUCUAUUUCACUGAUGAUGCUUGGAUGAGAAGUCUCAUGGAGACCGAUCUACCGAUGUACGUGUUGUGCACGGUGCUUGUAGGACUCUUCUUCUUGACGCACCAUCUCCAAUUUAGCACGGUCAGCCAUGUGUCGCAAGGCUCUAAACACCGGGACCCGCAUGGUUUCGAUAUAUGCUGCGGGUGUGAGAACCUCUUCUGCGUCUUCUGGGACUUGGCCUUUGAUCUCGUUGAAAAUCCACCGUAUCAGUUUGGCAUCUUCCACCAAUCGACCGAUGUUUUCCUGAAGAAGGGUUCGCAUGUUUUGGAGCUUGGCACGGACAUCUUCUGGUAUUGAGCUCAGAGUUAUUUGGCGUGAUGCAACUUCUUCGUCAUCAGAGACCGCAAUUGCAGAGGAGAAGAGGCUUUUGUUUGGCGUGUCUUACUCCUGCAGGGAUGUGGGAAAGUGUUUUAGCCGAUAAAAGUAAAAAAUCGGCUGGUAGAUAUAGAAGGUUCUUACCUCCUUCAAACAAAUCUCUUCUGCUUGGGUUGGCAGAGUCGUUACUCCCACCUCAGAAGUUUGCGGAGGUAGCUCAUUAGAGGGGGAAGACUUGACAAUGAUCGGCUCUCUAGGCGUAGCUGAUAAUGUGCUUGGACCAGCCUCCUGGAAAAGGAACAAAGGAAUCAUUUUUGAGUAUAAAAUAAUACUGGAUCUAAGUAGAAGUCUCGGUUUUCUUACCUCUCGGACGCGCGCAGCCAACGGUAGCACCAGGGGAAUGACUGACGUAUCUGGAGCGUCCUGUGUCAAGAAUCGUCUGAUUUUAGUUAUCAGAACUGUGGAGACUAAGGGAAGAGCAUGUUCUUUACCUCAAUUUGAAGAUUUGUAGGUAACACAAUUUUAGCUUGAGAAUCGGCCAAUUAAGGAACAGUCUGCUCUAGGAUAGGUUGUACGGCCUGUUGAAAAGAAACAAAUUUAGUAUUGGUGAUACAUAUGAAGAAGUCAGAGCAGAAAGAUUACUCGUGUAGCUUUCACCAAGAGUAACACAAUCGCCGACCCAGCCUCUGAUGCUGCUAGGGGAUCAAUGUCCUGAAUUGCCGACAAUACAUCUGCUUGGAUUGGUGCGGCUGAGGGCUCGACCGAUGUUGCUGCCGAUUGGUGGGUUGUUCGAGUUGUCGUAGAUUCAGUACGAGCUCAUACCCUGCGACUCGUCUUCUUUGUGGUGGAUAUUUUGAGCUUAUGCUUCAAUCGGUUGGUGGCUAUGUCCUCCAUUGAUGGGGCGUGAUAGCCGAUGAGAGGGUACGGUGUGUACGGAUGAUGGGUCUGUAUCAGUCUGCCACUCUAACUGUGCGUUGGAGGCACUUGGCUAUCAACCUGUGCAGGGUAAAAGGAUAAUGAUAAGAAAGUUCUGCAACAUGUGAAAAUUAUUGGUAAGGAAUCGACAAAAAAGUAUUGUUACCUCUGCAUUCGGAUCAGUGUGAGCGGGGUCCAGUUGAUUGCAAUACACUGCAGGGGCCGCACAGGAAAGGUACUGUUUCCACUCGGCCCACCACAAUUUGAAUUGUUGAGUGGAGAAGGGGACCACCAGCCAAGCGCUCAGAUCGAUGGUGUCGGAAUCCGGUGUCAGAUUACACAAUCUGUUGUAUUCCAGUCCUUUUGAAAUCGGUUCUCAAAAUUUCACUCGGCCGACGAAGUGAAUCCGAUUGGUAUUUGUCCCAAGCCAAAUUGCCGAGCUGCUACCGACGGGUUAUAGAACUCAUAUGUUGGAGAGUCCUUGCCAGAGAAGAAAUUUGCCGGUAGAAUCCCAGGUUGAUCAGGGUGUCCAUGAUUCCUUCAUCGAAGGUAUCGGUAGCCUAGUCAAAACAGUCAGGAUUCUAAAAAGUUGGGUUCUCUCUCUGAUAUGGAUACCAAUUCGUCACCUCUUCUUUAAAGCUGUUGUAAAAGCAUCUAAAGUGCUCGGCUAUUCUUGAGGGGGCAAGCUUGCCGCCUGGGAAAGUGGAUACGGCUUCACUAAAGGAAGUACAGCGGCGUCUGGCCAAUGGGUCGGUUUCUGAUUUAACAUUAGGAAAGUCUUGGUCUCAAUCCGCUCCUUGAAGAUUUCGCUCAUAUAUAAGUUGAGCUAGAGAUUGACAAACCACCAAGGACCACCAGGAUUCCUGAUAGGUUCUCCAGAUGAUAGCUUCACGCCGAUGUGAUGCAGCAUGUAAUACACUGACCCUAGUAGAUGCUUUCCCAAAGGGACUGUGGCUCCUCUAACUAGUGCUUCGGCCAAAGCCUGUGUGUUGGAAGUAGGACUGGCUAAUUUACCACAGAAGACAUACCUUUCCUGCCACAUCAUCAAGAAGGUCGUGUGCUCUUUUUCUGUGUUGGGUCCGGUCCUCAUGUUCUUCUCAAUGUAGCCUUUCCAUGUGCUGAUGGCUUUCGUCUCCAGCCGAUGGGUGGGUUUGAUUAAGAAAUCGAAAGGUGAGUCGGUGGAGGAAACAUCGAGGCCAGUCAGCAUCAGAACAUCGGCCAGGGUUGGAGUCAUUGGCCCAUGGUCGAAAAGAAAUGCAUUGAGAGCAUCGGACCAAAAGUAAGAUGCCGCGAUGAGCAGAGAUUCUUUCUUUUCCAUAUGAGAUAGAGAUAAAUUUCUGCAAUGGCCGAUUUUUCGCUCAUCCCAGAAGACUCUGUUGGAAUUUGACAUUCUAAAAAACCAAUCUCUCCAUCCGGGGGUUUGAUUCGGCCAAGACUUGAAAGUGUUCGCCCAAUUGUCUAGUUCCAUGGUCGAUUGCUUAAAAGGGAUCCUGUGAGUUUCUAGUUUAAUCAGAUCGGUUGGGUUAGGAUCUCCCAUAGAGCCAAGAUCGAUGAAUCCAGGGGUGUUGGCCAUGGGAUGGUGAUUCUUUGCCUGAGUUCUUGAGCAAAUGCGAAGAAAGACUAAGAACAGAUCUAAAAUCGCGAAAAGAUGAGGAGAGCCUAGAAGACUUACCUCAGGAACGAAGGUCAUGGUAGCUAUGGGUGCCACCAUUGGAGCUUGGGAGUUGGUGCGGUCGGUGAAGGACGUGAGCAAGUCACUGGAGUGCGCUGGGAUGUGCCUAGAAGUGGCACGAGCAAGGUCGCUGGGGUGUGCCGGGAGAUGAUUCGCUGGAAAGGAAACCCUUUUCGCCCGGAGGAAGAUGAAGCGGCGGAAGAGAUGAGUAUCUGCACGAUGACUCGGGAGAAGGGUAAAUAUGAAAUUUUUACCACGCCGUCUGCGCUAAUUUCGAAAGGAGCGGUUGCCUACAGGUGCUCAGUUCGAAAAAAUGCAAUCAUCAAGGAGAAGAUUUCGGGAGCAAAGAGGGUUUUGCUGCAUUUAUUGUUGCGUCUUUUCUGAAAGAAGGAAUCAGAGUUGAGAAAAUUUCGGAGAAAAAGAUAUGUUUCACUAUGAAGCUGGGAGGCAUGUGUUGAUGCCAGUUUUUAACACGUGUCAGGGUCGGUGUCAAGAGGAGAAGAAAGUGGCCAAUGCGGUUAAACAAGAGGCCAUGGCUAGAGAAAUCGGUCAGUAAAGCUAUAGUGUUCUGACCGAUUAGCUGAUGAGAUAGAUGAAGACUCACCGAUUGGAAGCCAGAACGCUGGAUUUUGACACGUACUUGAAAUCGGUGUCAAAGAAGGAGAAAGGGGGGCCGAUGCGGCGGACUAGAAGCUACAGUUGGGAAUCGGCCGAUUGAAGCUACAAUGUUUCAGCCGAUUGGCGGAAGAAAUUGGUGGAGGCUGGCCGAUUGGGAGUCAAAGCAGUUUGGCCGGUUUGGGCCUAAGGUGGGCCAGGAUGAAUAUUUGCUGAAGAGACAGGCCCGUGGGAAAAUAAUAACCAACUCGAAUACGAGUCGUGUUUGUAACUAUUUGUUGUCGUUUGAAAUUAGAGAUAGAUUCUAGUCGGUUAGGAAAUCAGUUCCAACACGCUAUAACUAGCUACCUCGAGAGGCUUGUAAAAAAAACAACACAUCAAUCAAUACAAAAAAAAUUACUCUUUCCUCGUACUUUACUUUCAAGUCGGCGACUUCGCCAAAACCUUUUUCUUUCACGAGUUCGUACGGAUUGGCAGGGCUGGAUCUACAGGAUCUCCGGCCGAUUCUGUAAGUUCCACUUAUCGAGUAAUACUAAGCUUUAACUUCGGGCGCAUCGCUGUUAUUUUGUUUAGAUUUAUUCACCAGUUAUCGAUAUCAACUAGAGUCAUAGGUUUUACCUGUUAUUUUAGUUUUUAUCACCAAUUAUCCAUCUUGAGGUACGAACUGUCGGUUUUUAUUAUUCUUAUCCUUUAUCAUCACAUAGCCGAUUAGAUCUACUCCAAGUUUUGCUUCUGUAGUGUUGUUUAGGUUGCUGUAAAAGUUUUCCUUAUGAUUGCUACAUGAGUAUCGGCUGUCUUAUAGCCGGUCAUCUCUACGGUAAAUCGGCCGAUUCGCUGAUACGCUCUUCAAGACAGAUCGGAACUCUAGCCGAUCGAAACCCCUAGAAUUUAAUAUUCUUCUUUCCAUGUCAAUCAUUAGGUCAGAUUGACUGGCAUGCCGCGCGAACCGCACUAGGGCAAUAACUCGAACAGGAGCUAAGUAGAUUCUCCUGGGUCGUGUGUCCGACGCUGAGGGUCAUCGGCCAAUUUUCAGCACCAACACACUUUUGGCAUGCCCGGUGGGACCAAACAAGAUCCAACAUGUCGAAGGCUGCUGAGAUCUUUGAAGAUAACGUCCUUGAAGUCAUUGAAGAAAAUCUCAAGGACGAUCAGAAGGAGGAACUGGCGAGGGCUAUAGAAGAAUACAGGAAGACAUGCCUGCAAUCUUUCAUUCGUACCAGAAGCGGGGAGACAGUCAAGAAAGCUCCUCUCUCCACUUCCCGCCAAAUCACCGUCAUCGAGGACUCAGGGAAGAUGUCUGAGAUGAUUCAACAGUCCGUUUAUCAGGCUAUGAUUGACCAAUCCACGGUGAUGACCAACACUGUAUACAACGCCAUCAUCAGCUCCUUGGUUAGCGGCGUAGCUCAGGGGUAUCAGGGACUAGCGUAUGCUCCUCCCAUCGUGGCACCGAUCAGAGGCUUCUUAGCAGCGCCAAACGUGUGUCACUCGACUCCUCAACUAAUGCAGAUGCAACGUGGAGGGUACUACACUUCAAUGCCCCUGGGGUACAAUGGUGCAUCAUUCUAUCAAUCGCAAGAACCGUCUCAUCCUAUGCCAAUUUCAUCCAUACAAUCGCCGCUCUCAAACUCGGCGCCAUGGGGGGUAGCAGCAGCAACCGCCGGUCUGGAUCCGUCAACCAGUUAUGGAAAGUCUCCAGUCCAGGCGUUAUUCCAAUCGGCCGAGGCCGAUAGCCCCGCAAUACCAAACAACCACUUCAGAUAUCGGCAGGAGGACAGGCGCUCUAGAAACACUCAGGGUUGCGGCGUCGAUAAUAUUGUACGAUGAAGUGACAGAUACACUAUGUCAGCAGCCAUCGGCUACUCAGCCGACAACCCAGCCACAAUAUCUGCAGAACACUCCAGUUUAUCACCCGAUCAUGGAACCGCAAAUCCAACAGCACGUACCGAUUCCUCAGCCGGUCGUGCAUCAGCAGCAGGUUGAUUGGACCGCGAAGAUAGCAGAGGUAAUUCAAGAUCAGUUUGUGUUAAAAGCAAAAGUACAAACUUACAUGUACAAGACGCCAUACCCACUUGCCUACGAUCUGUUACCGUUCCCUCAUCGGUACAAAGUCCUUGACUUCACCAAGUUCUCGGGCCUAGACGACACGUUGACUGUCGAGCACGUUAAUAGGUUCAUCAUCCAGUGCAGGGAGGCUGCUACGCAAGAUGCUUUGAUGGUGCGCUUGUUCUCGUCAUCCCUAUCCGGAUCAGCCUUGCAGUGGUUCACUACACUGCCGCCCAACGCCAUCGUUACCUUGGCCGAUUUGGAAAAGCAAUUCCAUAAGUACUUCUAUGCGGGAAUCCACGAGAUGAAACUCUCAGACCUAACUAGCCUCAAGCAAAGAAGCGAUGAGUCGAUGGCCAGCUACAUACAGAGGUUUAGGAAAGUUAGGAACAAGUGCUACACCUUGGUCUGGACUGACACCCAACUAGCCGAUAUCACCUUCCAAGGACUCCUGCCACACAUCAAAGAGAAGUACGCCUCCCAGGAGUUCGAAAGCUUGAGCCAAAUCGUCCAUCGGCUGUCCGGCCAAGAGAUACACCCUUUCGACCAACGAAGGAACUUUCAAAAGAAGGUAGCUUAUGUGGAAGGGUCUGAAUCGGGAGAGAAGGCGGAAAUCGGCCUAGCAGAGUCGGUAAAAGGAAAAAAGCCGAUAUCAUGCCCGUUUGGAAAAAAGGAACCAGAAACAUUCGGCUUUGACACGUCAAAAGCCGACAAAGUCUUCGACUUGCUGCUUCAAGAGGGGCAGAUCAAACUUUCGCCUUACCACACCAUUCCGUCGGCCAAGCAGCUCAAAAAGAUGAAAUACUGCAAAUGGCACAAUACCACAUCCCAAGACAAAAAUGAGUGCAAGAUCUUCCGACAAUAGAUACAAUUAGCCAUUGAGCAAGGAAGACUCAAGUUCGAGGUUCCAGCAAAACCAGUGAAGCCGAUGAAGAUUGAUCAACAUCCCUUCCCCGCCAACAUGGUCAAUGUAGGAAGAAACGCACUCCAAACCAAAGUUUUGAUGUUAGAAUUGGCCAGGAGAAGCGGUGCAGUGGAUCCCAAAAAUCAGGCCACGAUCGGAGAUGUCAAAGGAAAAGGACGGAUGGAAGAAGAAGGUGAAGGAUCAGAAAGGCCACGUCGGCCUGUCACUUCCCAAGACUUACUCAGCAAGUAUCAGCAGCAGCGGGAAGAUUCAAGACGCCACGAAGAGAUGAUGCGCCGACACGAAGAUCACUGGAGGUGCCCGUUUUUCAUCCACUGCUGGGAGAAUAACCUUAGAUUACCGUCGGCUGAUAAUUGCCCUGAGUGCAACGGCCAGUAUCGCAGUGGUCGUCCGUUCAAUAGAUCACGCUCCAAGGAUCGAGGGCUAGAGCCAAUCAGCAGAAAGAGGCACGAGCAAGGAGAUCGGCGCGUUUCAGUGCGUGAUCGGCUGGGGGGUAGAGUUGACCAGCAUAAUCGGCUGGGGGGCAGAACCAGCGCACAUGAUCGGCUGGGGGGUAGAACCAGCGCACAUGAUCGGCUGGAAGAGAUAGCUGACGCCAAAGUCUCAGAUGAGAACCUCCUAGGGUGAGAAUCAGGCUGGGAGCGUGCAAAGCCGCCGAGUAAACCAGUAAACCCCAGAUGGUGCCCAGCCGGUUUGACUAAGUCCUUGAAACGGAGGGUCCAGCGUUUGCACCAAUGGGAGCAGCAAGAAGAAAAACAAAGGUAGGUGAUGGAUAACAAAGGGGACAGGUCUCGAGUAUGGCGUCCUAGAAGAAAAUCCGACGCAGGAGACUAAAAUCAUGAUUCGACAGCUGACUUCAGCAUGAUGUUCAUCUUGCCGAUGGAGUUCAUGCCUCCCGCCGACCGGGACAAUGCGAUAGAGAUAGAGGAGCAAAUGGCACAAUUGGCUCUGGAGCCAAUGACCGCCACUUUUGAGAAACCCGAGGAUUAAAAACGCCAACAUCUCAAGGCCCUGUUCCUCAAAGGACAUGUCAACGGACGACCAGUCACCAAGCUGUUGGUAGAUGGAGGCGCUGCUGUGAACAUCAUGCCCUAUGCUAUGUUCCGCAAAUUGGGCAAAGGUAAAGAAGAUCUAACAAAGACGGAUAUAAUGCUCAAGGAUUUCGAAGGCAACGUAUCUCCGGCCCGAGGGGCACUCUGCGUCGACCUCACCAUCGGGAGUAAGGCCCUACCCACUAUUUUCUUUGUUAUUAAUGGCAAAGGCUCCUACAACAUGUUGCUCGAGCGAGAUUGGAUCCACGCAAACUGCUGCAUCCUGUCUACGAUGCACCAAUGCCUUGUCCAAUGUGUCGGCGACAACAUCGAAGUAGUCAUCGCCGAUUCCACCUAUAGCGUUGCCACGGCCGACGCACAACAGUGGAGCUACGAUCACGUCAAAUUCAAAUAUGGUAGGGUUUGGGACACCAAUUUCCUAAAGGUGUCCGAUUUCGGUCUACAGCCAAUCCAAGCAGUCAGCUCUAAAGAAUCAAGUUAAAAUGGAUCAGUUCAUCUGAGAAGAUGGGAAGCUCGGGCACGGGUUUACGUCGGCCGAUUCAUUGGAGAUGGUGGACCUUGGAGAUGGCAACAAGCCAAAGCCGACGUAUAUUCGUGCUAGGUUAGAACCCGAGUAUAAGCAUGAAUUAAUGAGUCUUUUACGAGAAUUUAAAGAUUGCUUUGCUUGGGAGUAUCAUGAGAUGCCUGGUCUAGACCGGUCCAUCGUCGAACACCGGUUGCCUAUAAAACCAGGGCAUUGGCCGCAUCAGCAACCUGCACGACGUUGUAAUCCUAAAAUUUUACCUGAUAUAAAGGCCGAGAUUACAAGAUUAAUUGAAGCAGGGUUUAUUCGGCAAUGUCGCUAUGCCGAGUGGAUUUCCAAUAUUGUGCCCGUAUACAAGAAAAAUGGAAAGUUACGUGUGUGCAUUGACUUCAGGAAUGUUAAUCAGGCUAUGUCGAUGGAUGGAUAUCCGAUGCCGAUGGCUGAUGUUUUAAUAGACGCCACCGCAGGACACAAAGUCAUCACCUUCAUGGAUGGUAAUGCUGGGUACAAUCAGAUAUUAAUAGUCGAAUAAGAUAUUUCAAAGACGGCUUUCAGAUGCCCAGGCCACCUCGGUUUGUUCGAGUGGGUAGUAAUGAGUUUCGGUUUAAAAAAUGCUGGAGCUACGUACCAACGGGCUAUGAAUUAUAUAUUCCACAAGCUUAUUUGUGUCCUGGUGGAGAUCUACAUUGACGAUGUCGUGGUCAAAUCAAAAGGGUAUCAGGAACACCUGGCCGAUUUGCGAAAAGUGUUGGAAUGCACAAGAAAGCAUGGGUUGAAGAUGAAUCCAAACAAAGUGUGCCUUCGGCGUUUCGGCUGGACAGUUUCUGGGAUUCAUGAUUCACGAGCGAGGCAUCGAGAUCAAGCGAAAAAUUAUAGUUGCUAUCAACAAAGUCGUGGGCCCCCAGAAUAAGACUGAGCUACAGUACUUAAUCAGCAAGGUUAACUUCAUCCGACGGUUCAUAUCUAACUUGUUCGGGCGUAUUCAAGCUUUCACCCCUUUGUUGAAAUUAAAACCCGAUCAAGAAUUUGUAUAGGGUAAGGAAUAGCAGAAAACAUUAGAUGGCAUCAAACAAUACCUAGUCUCGCCACCAGUAUUGGUUCCGCCGCAGGCCAACAAGCCAUUCAAAUUAUACCUAUUGGCUGAUGAACGAGCUAUUGGGUUGGCGCUGGUCCAGGAAUGUGAAGGAAAAUAAAGAGUAAUCUAUUAUGUCAACAGAAGACUCCUGAACGUUGAAACUAGAUAUCCUCCGGUGGAACGGCUGUGCCUUUGUCUAUAUUUUUCAUGCACCAAACUCAGGCACUAUCUGUUAUCGGCAGAGUGCAUAGUCGUUUGCAAAGAUGAUGUGGUCAAGUACAUGUUGUCAUUGCCGAUUUUGAAAGGGAGGAUUGGAAAGUGGAUUCUAGCUCUCUCAGAGUUCGACCUGAGGUACGAAUCGGCCAAAGCUGUCAAGGGGCAAGUAAUGGCCGAUUUCGUGAUCCAGCACUGUGGACCAGAAAUUACUGUCGAACCAGCUCCGUGGACACUAUACUUUGAUGGGUCUGCGUGUGGGGCCGGAUCGGGAAUCGGCAUCAUCCUCAUAUCGUCUCGAGGGGCAAGUUAUGAUUUCUCUCUGCCGUUUGAGGCGUCCGCUACUAAUAAUCAAGCGGAGUAUCGGGUUGUUCUAAAAGGUAUCCAAUUAUUAAGAGAGGUCAAAGCUGACGUGAUGGAAAUUUUUGAGGAUUCCAUGCUCAUUGUAGAUCAAUUAACUGGAAAGUCUGAAUGCAAGGAUGAUAUCUUGAGGAUUUACUACGAAGAUUGCCUCAAGUUAUUGAAGGAGUUCAAGUCUUUGAUUAUUGAGCAUAUUCCCAGGAAUUACAACGAAGAAGCCAAUAGACUUGCCCAACAUCCUUCCGGGUAUCGGCUGUGUUGACGCCAGAUUUUGACACGAGUAAAAUCGGCGUUAGAAGUGGAAGAAAUUAGGAGAUGCGGCGAGAUACAAGGGCAACGAUUGGAAAUCGGCCGAUUGGUGCUACAGUCAAGGAUCGGUUGGUUGGUGCUGCAGUCAAGGAUCGGCCAAUAGAUGCUACAGACGAGGAUCGGCCGAUUGAUCCUUAGAGUUCCGCCUCGCACGACCCCUGGUUUGGGAUCGGACACGCCCGACCCUCCAAGGGAGGAUCUCCGCCUCGCCCGACCCCUGGUUUGGGAUCGGACGCGCCCGACCCUCCAAGGGAGGAUCUCCGCCUCGCCCGACCCCUGAGGUUUGGGAUCGAACGCGCCCGACCCUCCAAAGGAGGAUCUCCGCCUCGUCCGACCUUAGUUCCCAGGGUCGAAAUGAGUCUGAGCCCUCGAUAUGUGGGUCCUGAUCGGUUACCCCCCUUGCCAAAGAGGUGAUCGGCCGAUUAGGAGGUUGGAAUAGUUGGGCCGAUGUGGGCUCAAGAAGGAUUAUGAAGAUGAAGAGGGGGUCAGCCCAUGAAGCGCGUGAAAAUAGUACGAAUCGUACUUGUAAAUAUUCGUUUUCUGUUUAAAUUUAGGGAUAGAGUUCUAGUCGGAUAAGAAGUCGUUUGUACGGGGCUAUAAAUAGCCACCGUUGUAGAUCUGUAAUCAUCAUCAACUCAAUACAACAAACUACUAUUUCCUCGUACUUACUUUCAAGCAGGCGACUUUACCAACACUUUUUCUCCUUUUUCACGAGUUCGUACGGGUUGGCGGGGCUGCAUCAACUUGACCUCCGGCCGAUCUUGUAAGUUCCGUUUAUCGACUAAAUUCUAAGCUUUAACUUCGGGCGCAUCGCUGUCAUUUCGUUUAGAUUUAUUCAUCAGUUAUCGAUAUUUACUAGAAUUCUAGGUUUUACCUGUUGUUCUAGUUUUAUCACCAAUUAUCCAGCUAGGAAUCGGUAAAUUCGGCUUUCUUUAUACUUCUCUGUCUAAUCUAUUUAUUUUAGCCGAUUAGAUCUGUUCCUAGUGUUGCUACUGUAGCGUUGUUUAGAUUACUCUAGCAGUUUUCUUUAUAAACGUUACCUGGUAAUCGGUUGCACUAUAGCCGAUUUCCUUAUUACGGCAAAUCGGCCGAUUCGCUGAUAAGCUUUCUUGAGAUCGGAACCUUAGCUGAUCGCAACCUCUGGGAACUGACACGUUUAUUUCCUUGCCAAUCAACAGUUCAGAUUGGCUGGCUCGCCGCGCGAACCGUACCAGGGCAAUCACCCGAACAGGAGUUAAGCAGAUUCUCCCGGGUCGUGUGUCCGACGCUGGGAAUUCGGUCAGCUGAUUUCUAGUGCCAACACACUUUUGGCACGCCUAGUGGGGCCAAUACAACCGCCACCAUGUCGAAAGCUGCUGAAGUCUCCGAAGAUAACAUCAUCGAAGUGACAGAGGCAGAUCUCAGGGACGACCAGAAGGAAGAACUAGAGAGGCAGACAGCAUACUACCGGAAGACAUGUCUGCAGUCCUUCAGUCGCACCAGGAGCGAGGAGACUAUCAAAAAGGCUCCGUUUCCAACUCCCCGCCAGAUCACAAUCACCGAGGAUUCGGACAAGAUGUCCGAGAUGGUCCAGCAAUCCGUCUAUCAAGCUUUCAUUGAUCAAUCCCCGGUGCUUUCUAAUACGGUAUACAAUGCCGUCAUCAGCUCCUUGGCUAGUGGUGUAUCUCAAGGGUACCAGGGGCCGGCAUAUGUUCCGCUGAUUAUGGCUCCGAGCAAUGCGGCGACAUGAAGAUCACUGGCGAUGCCCGUUCUUCAUCCACUGUUGGGAAAGCAACCUUAGGUUGCCUUCGGCCGAUAAUUGCCCCGAGUGCAACGGCCCGUAUCGUAACAAUCGGCCGUUCAGCAGGUCUCGCUCCAGAGAUGGGAGAUCAGAGCCGAUCAGCAGGAACUGGCGCGACCAAGACAACCGGCGCCCUCCAGUACGUGAUCGGCUGGGGGGCAGAAGUGACCGGUAUGACCGGUCGGAAGGCAGGCGCAAUGAUGGGCCGGGGGCAGAUUUAAUCGACGUGACCGGCCAGAAAAUAGAGUCAGCGUCCACAGACGACUUGAAUAGAUGGCCGAUGCUCGGGUGUUAGAUGAGAACCCUUUAGGACGCGAACUAGAAUGGGAACGCGCCAGGCCACGAACCAAACCGGUGAACCCCAGGUGGUGCCCCGAUGGAUUGACCAAGUCUCAAAAACGAAGAAUCCAACGUCUCCGCCAGUGGGAACAGCAGGAAGAAGAGCAACAGUACACGACGGACGAGAAGAAAGGCAGGUCUUAGGUAUGGCGCCCCAAAAGAAACGACAGAGGAGGCGACAAAUCAGCAGGCGAUGAAUCGGCAGCCGAUAUCGACAUGGUCUUCAUACUGCCGAUGGAAUUCAUGACUCCUGCCGACCAACAGGACAUGUCAGCAAUAGAAGAGUAGAUGGCGCAAUUGGCUUUGGAGCCAAUGACAGCCACAUUCGAGAAGCCCGAAGAAGACAAACGGCAACACCUGAAAGCGUUGUUUCUUAAAGGGCAUGUCAACGGCCGACCCAUCACCAGAUUACUGGUAGACAGAGGGGCUGCAGUCAACAUCAUGCCGUACGCCAUGUUCCGGAAGCUAGGGAAGAGCAAUGAUGACCUGACCAAGACAGACAUGAUGCUCAAGGACUUCGAGGGCAACGUAUCCCCCGCUCACGGCGCUCUCUGCGUCGACCUCACCAUCGGCAGUAAGACCCUUCCUACUACUUUCUUUAUUAUUAAUGGCAAGGGGUCCUACAACAUGCUACUCGGCCGAGACUGGAUACAUGCAAAUUGCUGUAUCCCAUCUACAAUGCAUCAAUGCCUCGUAUAGUGGGUCGGCGACAACAUUGAGGUGGUCACCGCCGAUUCCGCAUACAGCAUCGCGGCAGCCGACACGCAACAGUGGAGCUGCGAAACCGUCAAGUGCAUAUCCGGGAGAGUAUGGGAUACUGACUUCUUGAAGGUGUCCGAUUUUGGCCUACAGCCGAUCCGAGCAGUCGGCUCUGAGGACUCAGAUUAAAUGGAUCAGUUCACCCGAGAAGAUGGGAAGCUGGGACAUGGGUUCACGUCGGCCGAUUCAUUAGAAAUGAUAGACUUAGGCGAUGGCACCAUACCAAGGCCGACAUAUAUUAGUGCAAAUUUAGAUCCGGAAUACAAAUGUAAACUGACAAGUUUGUUAAGAGAACUUAAGGAUUGCUUUGCUUGGGAAUAUCAUGAGAUGCCCGGAUUAGACCGAUCUAUCGUUGAACAUCGGUUACCCAUAAAGCCAGGGUAUCGGCCGUAUCAACAGCCUGCACGGCGGUGCAAUCCUAAAAUCCUACCGGACAUAAAGGCCAAAAUAACGCGGCUAAUCAAAGCAAAAUUUAUUCGGCAAUGCCGUUAUGCCGAAUGGAUCUCCAACAUUGUACCAGUAUAUAAGAAGAACGGAAAGUUACGCGUAUGCGUCGAUUUCAGGAACCUCAAUCAGGCCACACCAAUGGACGGAUACCCCAUGCCGACGGCUGAUGUACUGAUAGAUGCCGCCGCGGGACACAAGGUUAUUAGUUUCAUGGAUGGAAACGCUGGGUACAAUCAGAUACUUAUGGCCGAAGAAGACAUAUCUAAAACGGCCUUCAGAUGCCCGGGUCACCUUGGUUUAUUCGAGUGGGUGGUAAUGACUUUCGGCUUGAAAAAUGUCGGCGCUACGUAUCAGAGAGUCAUGAACUACAUAUUCCACAAACUUAUCGGCAUACUAGUAGAAAUCUACAUCGACGACGUCGUAGUCAAGUCAAAAGGACACCAGGAGCAUCUGGCCGAUUUACGACAGGUGUUGGAAUGCACUAAGAAACAUGGGCUGAAGAUGAACCCGAAUAAGUGUGCCUUCGGCGUAUCCGCCGGACAAUUCUUAGGAUUCAUGGUGCACGAGCGGGGAAUAGAAAUCAAUCAGAAGACUAUAGCGGCCAUCAACAAAAUUGUGGCCCCGCAGAAUAAAACUGAGCUGCAAUCUCUAAUCGACAAGAUGAAUUUCAUCAGGAGGUUCAUAUCUAAUUUGUCUGGGCGAAUCCAAGCCUUCACACCAUUAUUAAAGUUGAAGCCCGACCAGGAGUUCGUAUGGGGGGAAGAGCAACGCAAGGCAUUGGAAGAUAUCAAGCAGUACUUGGUCUCACCACCGGUAUUGGUCCCUCCUCAAACUGGUAAGCCGUUUAAACUAUAUUUAUCAGCCGAUGAACGAGCUAUUGGGUCGGCUCUGGUCCAGGAGUUCGAGGGAAAGGAACGAGUAAUUUAUUAUGUCAGUAGAAGACUUCUGGACGCCGAAACAAGGUAUCCUCCAGUGGAGCGGUUGUGCCUAUGCCUUUACUUCUCAUGUACCAAACUCAGGCACUAUUUGCUAUCAGCGGAAUGUGUGGUCGUAUGCAAGGACGACGUGGUAAAAUACAUGCUGUCACUGCCGAUUUUGAAAGGAUGGAUCGAAAAAUGGAUCUUGGCUUUGUCGGAGUUUGACCUUCGAUAUGAAUCGGCAAAAGCCGUUAAGGGUCAGGUCAUGGCCGAUUUCGUUGCCCAGCACUGCGGGCCAGAGGCUACCUUCGUAGAACCAGUACCUUGGACCUUAUACUUUGAUGGAUCGUCAUGUGGGGCCGGAUCAGGAAUCGGCAUCGUCCUCAUAUCGCCUCGGGGGGCAAGCUAUGAUUUCUCUCUACCGAUAGAAGCAUCCACCACUAACAAUCAAGCAGAGUACUGAGCUGUACUGAAGGGAUUACAAUUGCUAAGGGAAGUCAAAGCUGAUUCCGUCGAAAUUUUUGGGGAUUCCAUGCUUAUCGUGGAUCAGUUAACAGGGAAAUCCGAGUGCAAGGACGAUGUAUUGAGGAUUUAUUACGAAGAUUGCCUCCUGCUUCUGAAAGAAUUCAAGUCGGCAGUUAUCGAGCACAUCCCAAGGAAUCACAACGAGGAUGCCAACAAGCUCGCCCAACACGCAUCUGGGUAUCGGCCGAUUCAAGGCGCCUUGGCUCUAGAGCUCGCGGCCAAUGACUGGCGAAAGGAGAUUGCCGAUUACCUGAAAGAUCCGUCUAAGAAAGUGGAUCGGCGGGUAUGUUUUCAUGCUACCAAAUAUGUGCUACUGGAAGACGACUUGUUCUACCGAACAAUUGAUGGCGUCCUACUCAAGUGUCUAGGAACGGAGGAGGCUAAGACUCUGAUGGGAGAAAUCCAUGAAGGAGUGUGUGGAGCCCACCAAUCGGCACAUAAGAUGAAAUGGAUGAUUAGGAAUAAUGGGUAUUACUGGCCGACGAUCCUCGAAGAUUGCUUCAAAUAUUAUAAAGGAUGUCAGGAUUGUCAGAAAUUCGGGAAUGUCCAACGUGCGCCCGCAUCGGCCAUGAAUCCCAUUAUCAAACCAUGGCCGUUCAGAGGUUGGGGGAUAGACCUCAUCGGCCAAAUUUAUCCUCCGUCAAGCAAAGGGCACAAGUUCAUUCUGGUGGCCACUGAUUAUUUCACCAAGUGGGUGGAGGCAAUUCCGUUAAGGGCCGUGACAUCGGCUGCUAUGGUUGACUUCGUAAGAGACCAUAUCGUCUACCGUUUCGGCAUCCCCCAGACUAUCACGACCGAUCAAGGGACAAUGUUUACAUCAGGAGAAUUCGAGGAGUUCACAGCCGACAUGGGAAUCAAAUUAUUAAACUCCUCUCCGUAUUAUGCCCAAGCUAAUGGCCAGGUCGAAUCUUCCAACAAGGGGAUAAUUAAGUUAAUCAAGAGGAAGAUAGAGGAGCAGCCGAAAAAGUGGCAUCUAUGUCUGACUGAAGCUCUAUGGGCAUACAGGAUGGCUUGCCAUGGGGCCACUAAGAUGUCCCCUUAUCAGUUGGUGUACGGUCACGAGGCAGUACUACCAUGGGAGUUGAGGGCAGGAUCGAGACGCACUUCGCUCCAGGACCAGUUAGCGGCCGACGACUACUCCUCACUCAUGAAAAGGGAACUUGAUGACUUGGCUGGCCAACGAUUGAGAGCUUUGAUAAGCAUCAAAGAAAACAAGAAGAAAGUGGCCAGGUGGUAUGAUAAGAAAGUCAAAGUCAAACAAUUCUCUCCGGGGGACCUGGUAUGGAAGUUAGUGUUGCCGAUCGGGUCGAAAGAUCCUAAAUUCGGUAAGUGGUCCCCUACGUGGGAAGAGCCGUAUAAAAUCGGCAGAUGUGCUCCAGGAAACGCUUAUAUUCUGGAAACAAUCGAAGGAGAGAAGAGUUUACUAGGGCUUUGAACGGAAGAUACUUGAAAAGGUACUACCCUAGUAUAUGGGUCGGAGCAUAAGGAUCGACCAUGAUGAACAACACACAGCCAAUACAAAAGGAUUCGUCUAGAGAAAAAAACGUAAUCGUCCAAAUCGGCCGAUGUAUUUCAUUCGGUACGGACGGUGGGUUACACGGCCGACAAGGUACAAGUUGCCCUUAGAACAAAAAAAAAUUAAUCACGCUUUUUCUUAAGCUCUCUCUCAGCCCGACCUAGUUCUAUCAGAAGACGGAUGUACUCUUCUUUUAUCUCUUUCAUCGAAGCCUCCGCUUCGACUUGACGGGGGAGAGGGUGACUCCGGUCCAUGGCCGGGCGUGAUGUUCCUACUGCUGCAUCUUCAAGGACGAUUUGAUGAGGAAGCGGAUGACUUCUGUCGGCUUGAGGUCGCCGGUGGUCGUUGCUGUCCAGAAAGUCCCAGAUCCAUCGGAUGUCGGCAGGGACGUGCUCUUGGAGUUCGUCGCGAUGAGCUCUGAUUAAAUCCUUAUCUUCUUGCGACAACGGUUCAUCGGAGUGUACAAGUCCGAUGGCUCGUUCGAGUUCGGGGCUAAGGCGCCGUGGCUGCGGAAAGCAACAAUAUACAUAUAGCUGCCGAAAAGGUGAUUCCCUUCAGAAGAGCUAAACUAAGAAAGAGAAUGAAGGCAAAUCUUUUACCUGAUUAACGGAGGAAGAGGUAGAGGAUGGAGAAGACAUGACUGAAAGGCGCACCGACGUGAACAGGUCGAGGAAGAUGAAGCCGAGUUAGAAAGGUACUCUCGGAACGGUCACCUAGGCCGGUGUUUAUAGGAAAGGAAGGCAUGGAUGUUUGGUAAGACGCGUCCCAUCGGGAGUGUGAAAGGUAAUAAAUAAGGGGGCGUCGCGAAGGACGGUCAAAGGGAUCAUUAAAUGUUCGUACAAGAACUGCCAGCACUUUUACAGGUCACCCAGAAGGGCAUCGAUAGCUGCGAUCGCUCGACGCCGGAUCUGAUCGGCAGAGUCCAGGACCCGUUGGUCAUCCUCUGCCGAUCCGGGGACUUCUAACAUAUGGCGGUGGAGUUUGAGGGCCUCGUGAGCCAGAUGCUGCCUCUCUCGUUUCAGAUCGGCAAUGACAGAAGGGAGUUCCUGAAGCCUCUUCUCUUCGGCGUCUAUUGCUUUGGUCACCUGCUCCAUCUCCUUGGCAAGCUCUGCCCUUCGGCGUUUGAGGCGAUCUAUCGUGCCGACGAUCCCCGGGCGAGAGUCUUCCAGAAAGUGAAUCCGUUGAUGCACCUCUUGAGCUUGACGCUUGUACGUGUCUUCUUCUUCACGAGUUUUGGUCAACUUGACGCGAUCGGCCAUGUGGCGCAGGGCCCUAAAGACUGGAAUCCUCAUUGACUCGAUAUAUGCAGCUGGCGCCAAGGCCUCUUCCGCUUCUUCUGGUACUCGCCCGCUGACGUCACCAAAAAGUUGUUGAAUCAGCGAAGCGUCUUCUACCAAUCGGCCGAUGUCCUCUUGAAGAAGGGAUCGGAUGCUUGCGAGUUUGGCACGGACGUCAUCAGGAACGGAGCUCAAAGUGACCUGGCGAGAGGCGACUUCCUCAUCAUCGGAGAGUGCGACCGCAAACGAGAAAAGGCUGUUGUUGGGGGUGUCCUGUUCCUGAAAAAUAGUGAGUCAAGAAGAAGAACAAAUCAGCCGAUGAUGAUAGCAAAUCGGCUGAGUAAGGGUGAGAAAUCUCUUACCUCCUUGAAACGGAUUUCUUCAAACUGCGUUUGGGAGGCUGUUAUCCUCGAUUCAGGGGCUGGUACCAUUGGUUCGUCAGAAGCUGAAGACUCCACCAUGAUUGGUGCUUUGCUCGGGCCAGCUUCCCGAAAGAUGACCAUUGGUUGGUUAGGUGGGGCGCUAAGCGUACCGGUGACCUGUGUCAAAAGAUUGAAUAAGAAUAUUAUCCAAAUACUAGAAAAAUCGGUUGAAGAGUAGUAUACCUCGGCAGACGGAAGCGUGGGCGUGUUGAUGACCGAUUGGGUUGCUGCCGAUUGUUGUGAGUCCACAGAAGUGAUUUGUGUAGUCUAAAAUAAGAUGAGUCAGUAUAGAGAUGGCAAUCGGUAGGAUCAAACAACAAGUUUACCUGCAUGGCCUCCACCAGUAAUGAUGCAGCGGCCGCCCCAGCUUGCGUGACGACUUGAGUAUCUACUUCUCCAGCAGCUGGAAGGGGCAAUGUGGCCGAAGUUUCUGCCGAUGUGAUCGUAGGAGGGUCGGCCGGUUCUGUACGAGCUCGCACUCGGCGACUGGUCUUCUUGGUAACCUUCUUCUGCGCCUGCUUCGAUCGGCCGGCAAUCACAUCCACGGAAGGGGCAUCGUAGCCGAUAAGGGGGAAGAUGGUGUAUAGGUGAUGGUCCUCUAUCGGCCGGCCACUCCGACUGUGUGUUGGGGGAACGCAGUUUUCAGACUGAAGCAACAGCAAGAUGUUAGUGUACAUAUUUAACCGCAUUAAUAAAGGAAUGAAAAUCAGUUAGGGAAAAAAAAUACCUCGGUGUUCGGAUCGAUGUUGGCUGGAUCCAGGAGGUUGCAGUAUGUCGAUGCGGAGGCACAGAAUAGGUACUGUUUUCAUUCGGCCCACCAUAGCUUGAAUGGUUGGACAACAAAGGGGGCUACUAUCCAGUCAUUCAAGUCUAUGGUACUGGAGUCUGGUAUCCGGUCUCGCAGCCGACUAUAGUCAAGACCCUUGGUGAGCUCAUCUCUGAACUUUGCUCGGCCGACGAAGUAUGCCUGAAUCGGCAGUUGACCCAUGCCGAAUUGCCGAGCUGCAACGGAGGGAUUGUAGAAUUCAUAUGUAGGGGCAUCCUUUCCUGAGAAGAAGUUGGCCGGUAAGAUCCCCGGUUUAAUUAGUUCAUCUGUGAGAUCUUCGUCGAAUCAGCCGGUGGUUGAGUCGAAGCAAGAAGGGAGUUCAAAGAUUGGGUCAUCUCUCCAAUAAGGAAACCAGACGGUUGCAUCUUCAUUGAAGCCGUUAUAAAAACACUGGAAGUAUUCGGCCACCUUGGUAGCAGAGUACGAGCAACCAGAGAAGGCCGAUGCCGCUUCGCCGAAAGACAUACACCGGCGUCGGACAGUGAGAUUCUCUGCCGAUUCGACGCUGGGGAAUGUCAUGUGUUCCACUCGCUGCUGAGAGAUCUCGCUCAUGUACAAGUUCAGCCAUAAGUUAAUGAACCACCAGGGUCCACCUGGGUUUCCAAUUGGCUACCCUUGGGAUAGCUUGAUGCCGAUUUGGUGAAGCAUGUGGUAGGCUGCUCCCAGUAAGUGCUUUCCAAGAGGAACAGAAGUCCCUAUUGAUAAUGCUUCGGCCAGAGCUUGGGUAUUGGUAGAUGGACCAGCUGCUCUCCCACAGAAGAAGUGCUUCUCUAGCCACAUCAUCAGGAAGGCCGUGUGCUCUCUGUUGUCGACAGAUCCGGCCCUUUUGUUGCAUCUGAUGAAACCUUUCCACCUGCCGAUUCCCCUUGUGUCCAGCCGAUGUGAUGUUGCGGUUAUAAGGCGGAAAGGGGUGUCCGGGGAAGAAAUAUCCAGGCCGGUCAGGAAGACUACAUCGGCCAAUGUGGGGGUCAUGGGUCCGUGUCCAAACAGGAAUGCGUUGAGAGCAUUGGACCAGAAGUAAGAAGCUGCCACCACUAAUGGCUCAUUCCGUUCCAUUUGGGACAAAGAUAGAUCGAUGCAUUGGCCAAUUUUGAGCUCGUCCCAUUGGACCUUCUUGGAAGCGGUUAUCCGCUGGUACCAUUCCCUCCAACUGGGAGUUUCGUUCGGCCAAGACCUAAAGGUACUCAACCAGUGAUCUAGGUCCAUAGUUGAUUGUUUGAAGGGGAUCCUAUGGGUUUUCCAAAUUGAUUAAGUCGGUUGGAUCUGGAUUUCCCAUGGGUCCAAGACAGAUAAGGCCGAGGUUUUCUGUGAGACGAAUGGUGAUGCGAUGCCUAACCGCCUAAAAAGGAAAAGGGGGUGCGAGGGUAAGAAAUAGAUCUAAAGUACAUGCAUUACUAAUAAGGGAAAGUUUCGGUAAUGACCUCCGGGAUGAAGCUCCUCGUAAUCGGCGGAGUCGCCGGUGCAGCUGCAGACGAUGAAGCUGCCAAUGGGAUCUCGGAUGAAGCUUCAACUUUCGCCAAUGGAGCUCCUUCUUCCGUCGAUGGAGCCGUCGUUAUCGCUACUGGAACCUCCGCCGAAGGCACCAUUUCUGGAGCUUCGCGCAUUGGUGAGGUGCCUGAAGGUGCCGCCAUUGGAAAAGUAGGAGGCAAUGCGAAAGGAAGGAGGCGCUGGAGAAUUGGUGGACUAAGGAAAGUGUUGGAGGAAGAAGAAAGCCUGUGCACUGAAGAAGAUGGACAUGAGCUCGUAAGGAGUACGGGAUGUGCUGAUAUUUAAAGAACGUCUGAGAAGGGGUAAAAGUGGAAUUUUUACCGCGCUGGCGUUUUGAGUUUUUCGGGAGUAGUGGUUGUCGUGGGCACCCGUUUCGAAAAGAUUGCAAUCAUCAGGUUGGAGACCGCGAAAUGGAAGGAUGUUUUCAUUGCGUCUGUUUCGGAUGAGAAGUUGAAAAGAAUUUUGAAGUAAAGACUAUGUUUUACUCCGAAACUGGGAGGCAUGUGUUGACGCCAGAUUUUGACACGAGUAAAAUCGGCGUUAGAAAUGGAAUAAAUUAGGAGAUGCGGCGAGAUACAAGGGCGACGAUUGGAAAUCGGCCGAUUGGUGCUACAGUCAAGGAUCGGUUGGUUGGUGCUGCAGUCAAGGAUCGGCCAAUUGAUGCUACAGAUGAGGAUCGACCGAUUGAUCCUUGGAGUUCCGCCUCGCCCAACCCCUGGUUUGGGAUCGGACGCGCCCGACCCUCCAAGGGAGGAUCUCCGCCUCGCCCGACCCCUGGUUUGGGAUCGGACGCGCCCGACCCUCCAAGGGAGGAUCUCCGCCUCGCCCGACCCCUGAGGUUUGGGAUCGGACGCGCCCGACCCUCCAAAGGAGGAUCUCCGCCUCGUCCGACCUUAGUUCCCAGGGUCGAAAUGAGUCUGAGCCCUCGAUAUGUGGGUCCUGAUCGGUUACCCCCUUGCCAAAGAGGUGAUCGGCCGAUUAGGAGGUUGGAAUAGUUGGGCCGAUGUGGGCUCAAGAAGGAUUAUGAAGAUGAAGAGGGGGUCAGCCCAUGAAGCGCGUGAAAAUAGUACGAAUCGUACUUGUAAAUAUUCGUUUUCUGUUUAAAUUUAGGGAUAGAGUUCUAGUCGGAUAAGAAGUCGUUCGUACGGGGCUAUAAAUAGCCACCGUUGUAGAUCUGUAAUCAUCAUCAACUCAAUACAACAAACUACUAUUUCCUCGUACUUACUUUCAAGCAGGCGACUUUACCAACACUUUUUCUCCUUUUUCACGAGUUCAUACGGGUUGGCGGGGCUGCAUCAACUUGACCUCCGGCCGAUCUUGUAAGUUCCGUUUAUCGACUAAAUUCUAAGCUUUAACUUCGGGCGCAUCGCUGUCGUUUCGUUUAGAUUUAUUCAUCAGUUAUCGAUAUUUACUAGAAUUCUAGGUUUUACCUGUUGUUCUAGUUUUAUCACCAAUUAUCCAGCUAGGAAUCGGUAAAUUCGGCUUUCUUUAUACUUCUCUGUCUAAUCUAUUUAUUUUAGCCGAUUAGAUCUGUUCCUAGUGUUGCUACUGUAGCGUUGUUUAGAUUACUCUAGCAGUUUUCUUUAUAAACGUUACCUGGUAAUCGGUUGCACUAUAGCCGAUUUCCUUAUUACGGCAAAUCGGCCGAUUCGCUGAUAAGCUUUCUUGAGACCGGAACCUUAGCCGAUCGCAACCUCUGGGAACUGACAUGUUUAUUUCCUUGCCAAUCAACAGGUCAGAUUGGCUGGCACGCCGCGCGAACCGCACCAGGGCAAUCACCCGAACAGGAGUUAAGCAGAUUCUCCCGGGUCGUGUGUCCGACGCUGGAAAUUCGGUCAGCUGAUUUCUAGCGCCAACAGGCUCAUUUAUGUCGCCUGACACGCGAAUAUGCACUUUAACCAAGUCAACCUGGUCGACCGUCGGAUUUCAUCCGAUGAACCACUUACACAGGAUCAAGAAGCAUCGCUCAAACGAAGGUGAGUAGCACAGAGGUUACAACAUUCCAUUAUGACAACUUAGUUCCACAAUUUAUUACAUCAGAGUUUCAGAAAUUCAAACAAGUUGCAAGGUUCGAAAAGUCGGAUAAAACAAGCGAAAACUAAACGUCGAUACAGGAUAUCAUGACGAAGUUGAUCAUGACAUCAAAAAUCCCUACCCUCACCGUCCGAGGAGGGAUCCCACUCGAUUGUCCAGCCCGGAGGGAGCUGGGUAGGCCAAGUGGUGCCAGCAACCAAACUAUUGACAUGACCUGAAAAGAUUAAGCCAUAACAAGGCUGAGCAACUAAUACUCAGCAAGACUGACCCGUCGAGUGAAAAGCUUUACCAAGACCUAGACAUGCAAGGCUUUCUGGCUCUGGGAUUACUUUGCCAAAAGCAUCUACAGUCGGUCCUUACUUUCAAUAUUUUAGCUUAAGUUCUACGUUCUUUAACCAGUCUAGAUUAGCAACUUAUACUAAACAAGCAUAAUUUCCAAGUAGUUAAAUAACAAGCAUCAACUUAAUCUCAUAAUCAUGUUUCAUCGUUACUCAGUGCAGAAUAGCGAUCAAGUAGUCCCAAACUGUGAGAGACAGAUGAAUCGAUUCGAAUUUAUUAACCAUGCAUGGCGAACCUAAUCUCACGACAUCCGCGCACCACGAAGGGUCGCUUCAUUUGUCAGCCGUCCCCAUCGAUCCCUUAGGCACGUGUCAGGGCCAAACUGCCUUUGGCGUGCAAUGCUCCACAGUCCCGACCUCUGUCGUACUGUGACCGCCACUGCACCCACAUGAUGCACCAUGGGAACGACGUUCCAAGGACAGCAGGAGUAUAAGCCACGUCCCAGUUCAGUCAGGUACUAGGCUUCCCCAUCCCAGACUAGGUAUGAGAUUAGUACUUUCAAACACUUGAUCACGAACGCUGACACGUUUCAACCUUAGAUCAAUUUCCUUUAGACAGACGGGGAAAACCACCAAGUAUCGAACAUAAGCCCGACCCCGUCCGUCAUCCUUAUAGUUGCAACAUAAAUAAACAUUCAACUCCUAUAACUCGCGAGUGAUAGGAAAUCACUCGACUUUUACUGAAACCUAAUAAGCAUUGCAACUACUCGACUUUAGCAACUAGUAUUCAAACAAGGUACUAAGUUCAUGCAUCUACGGUUUCAAUCAACUCCUACACACGUAAAUGCGCAAACAUAAACAUCAACAUGUUGCAUAAAGUAAAACAGGGAAGUCAUGCACCGGGGCUUGCCGUCAGGAAGAGUUAGCGGGUCCUCGGGGUCUUGAUCCGGCUCAGGCUCGCCUUCCAAGUGGUGAAGCUCCGCAGCGGGGUCUUCCUCCGGUGUCGGGUGGAGCUCGUAGGUUCCAUCGGCGAGAUUUGCUUCUAUACGACAUGCAUAUGCAAAAGUUUAGUUGGACUCACGCGUUUAUUCAACGACACAAGGCUUGGCUUAAGACAAGGAGUUGCAACAGCCACAUUCACUUUGACGAGGUUCAACUUUCAUGCAACUUCAAACGAAUGUGGUCGGUUUAAACUUGAGUUCGAGUUGAAUGGCGAUUGUGUACAUAUAUAGUUUUCUUACACUUAGAGUUGCAUAAAGAGAAUGAAAGGUCGUGUUUGGGUGGUUUGGGUGCAUUAGGAUAGUUACUUACUUCUGAAUGUUUUUAUGUACCUCUUUCAAUUUCCACUUAUUUAUCGUAUUAGAAUUUGUGCUUUCCUUUUAUUCCUUUAGGUUGAUUAAUUAACCAAAAUGACUUCAUAUCCAAACAGCAGCUAAAGGCACUGAUAAAAUUACAACACCUCACUUAAGCCAUAGCUGGGUUACUCUAAAAUUUUGGGGGCCAUUGGAUGACUUAAAAAGGAAUUACAUGCAUUUUAUUAUUAAAGGUAAAAUGAGCUUAACUUUUUCUAUCUUCAAAGUUACUAUGCAACAGAGGGUGAAACUUAACCAGUGUGUUAAGGGUAUGUUACAGGAUCUUUGGCGAAUUUUUCAUAAUUUUUGAAGAAGGUUAACUAUUUACUCUAUUUCCUUUUUAAUUAAACAUGCUUAGCAAGGAAGGUGUUUUUUCUUUCCGAAUUGCACAACAAUUUACAUUUUUCCUGCAAACUUCACAGCAAAACAAAAUUAACCCAACUAGUUUCACAUUUUUUUGAGCUCUGGAUCAAAACGUAUGCAAAAAGGAAGAAUUAAUCUUAGAUUCCCAAAUUAAAGUCAAAACAAUGACUUAAAGUGCUAGACCAGAGCCCUAACCAUUUUUCUGAGCUUCUACACAUAGAAACAAGCAUCACAGAGUUGGUUUUACAUUUUUCCCACUUUUCUUCUAUUUAAUAGGAUUAAAAAGGCCUAAACCAUGAUUAAAAGCAUAUGAUAUUAUUUACAACAGUAACAUGAGCAAACUUAUUUUUCUUAGGAACUAGAUAGAGCAAGGAUUCCAACAAAAGUGGUUUGGUAUUUUUAUGAUUUUUCUACGAUUUACUGGGCAUUUACAAAGUUCAACCAUAUUUCUACCUAUUAUUUAAAAGAAAAGCCGUGGCAAACUUGCAGGUUAGCCCCUGGGUCUAUGGGUUAACUACGCAGAGGUCCCUGAGUUUUGCGCCCAGGCCCCUGGAAAGAAUGGGGAUGAUGCAAUGUAGUCCCCAGGGCGCGCGCGGCGGCGGCGAGGAAAUCCCCGGCGGUUCGUCGGCGGGGAUGGGGCAACAAGUGGUCGGAGGGGUGCGGGGGCUCACCUGAGCUCGGUUUGGUGGGGUUGGGGCGACGGAGAUGGUCGGUAGGGAUCAAAACACGGCGGCGGCGACAGAGCUUGGCUGGUGGCGGUGCAGGCGUCGUUCCGGCGCACUGGCGGCGUCGGGGAGGCCACGGGCUGCUCGGAGACGUGCGCGGAGGGGGGGCGAAGUGGGCGGCGAAGUUGCCGGAGUACGGGGUGGCGCGGAGGGGUGAGCUCCACGGGAGCUUAGCGGCGGCGCUGAGAAGGAAGCAGAGGCGUGGUUGCGAGCGGUGGCAAAGGGUGGCAUUGCCGGUGAGGGGGACCCUUUUAUAGGGCAGCGGUGGAGCGGAGGGUCGAGGUGGGGCUCCGGUGGAGGAAGGAUAAGGCCGGGAGCGGUGCGUGCGCGAGCGAGGCGGCCAUUGGCCAGCGGUGCCAUUGGGCAGGGGAGGCGGAGCUCCGGGUGGUCUCUGGCCGCGAUUGGCCUCGAGCGAUGCGUGUCUGAGGCCUCCGGUCUGUCGGCGGGCGAAGCGGAGGGCCACCGCGGGGGUUGGGCGAGCGGGCGGAGGCGCGGGACGUCGUUGGCGUGGUGGCUUCUCCAGCGGGUGGGCGAAGCGCGGUUGGGCAGAGCAGAGCCGCGGCAGAGGGAAGGGCACGCGCGCGGCCGACGGUUGGCCAGCCCGGCGUUCGCCCCGUCUUGUCGCAGGCGCGGGUUGGGCGCCGUGGCUCUCACCUUAUCGUUGUCUCGCCGGGGAUAGGGCGCCGGUGAGCUGCCGGUGGCCAGCGGCCACGAGGCACGCGGUGCGCGGGCGAACAUGCCCUGGCGCGCGGGCGUUGAGGCCCCUUCGGGCAGUAAGCCCGACCAGCUUUGAGAGAUCCUAUCUCAAGAUUUUGCAACACAACUUCCAAAACUCUUCUAAACAAACUUGUUCAACUCUGGACGUAGUUCAAACUUGGUUUAAGGUGCUGGUUUAGAUUGUGAAAGGAUUUGGAGAUAUCUCAUGCCAAAGUUUGCCAAAAAUAUGGAAAUCCAGACUUAGCCAAUUUUGGCCGGAGAGGUGGAAUUUCAGGAACUUAGCUAUGUUUGAGUCAACUUUAGGGCAGCUUCCAAGUUGAAUUAGACAGAAGUGUUAAUAGAGGAGUUGCUCUCCAAACUGAGGACUUCAACUUCUAUUUAGGGUAUUUCUGGAGUUUAGUUCAGAAAUUUGGAGGAACGCCCUCGCCAAGAGGUGCACUCUGAGCAGUUUUCCAGACUUAGCGUUGUGGUGCUCAGGGGCUGAGUUGACUGCUUUGCUCAACUUUGACCAAGAUUUUGAACAGGUUCUGGUUCGAUUUGGACCUGGGUCAUUGUAACAAACUUGGAAAACACUUGAGGUAUUACAACCUUUAUUAAGAGCCUGACUUGAGUUUAGAUAUGAAAUCGUGAGAUAAAGGCUUGCAAAGUUGGAGGAAAACUUGAAUUCCACGACUUGGAGGUUUAUAGGGUUCUUUAUUAUUCCGGUUUUGAUUCCUGUUUUUGACUUCCUCCCACUCCGAAUUAGCCAAAGUGACUUUAACAAAUAUUGUUUGAAAUUAAAAGUGUUACAACUCUUAUUUGGGCAAAAUUUUAAGUUUGUAUAUAAAAUCUCAAGUUUUAUUUUAAACUCCAUAAAGAGCUUCUUAGGGUUAAAAUGGUCAUUUCACUUCCUUUACUUAGUGAUUAACCACUGGUUUAUAUUUAAAGCACUUAAUUUAGGUAGAGUUGUUACAAGUAUCCACUCACUACUUUACCAAAUGGGUGCAGGCAGUCCCUCUGAAGACCGUGACGUUGGCCGUCAUGAUUGAAUUCAUAAGCGAGCACAUUAUCUAUUGGUUUGGUAUUCCUCAGACUGUUACGACCGAUCAGAGAACAAUGUUUACUUCAGGAGAGUUUGAGGAGUUCACUUCCGAUAUGGAAAUUAAGUUGUUAAAUUCUUCUCCAUAUUACGUUCAAGCUAAUGGUCAGACCGAAUCGUCCAAUAAAGGGAUAAUCAAGUGUAUCAAGAGGAAGGUAGAGGAGCAACCAAAGAGAUGGCACAUGACUUUAAGCGAGUCUUUGUGGGCCUACAGGAUGGCCUGCCACGGCGCUACUAAGGUGUCUCCUUAUCAAUUAGUGUAUGGAUAUGAGGCGGUGCUCCCUUAGGAAUUGAGGAUGGGGUCUAGACGCACGUCGAUUCAAGAUUAGUUGACAGCCGACGAUUAUUCUCUCCUUAUGAAAGGGGAGCUUGAGGAUUUGGUGGGUCAACGAUUGAGGGCCUUGAUCAGUAUUGAAGAGAAUAAGAAAAGACUUGCCAAGUGGUAUGACAAGAAGGUCAAGGUCAAGCAGUUCUCGCAAGGGGAUUUGGUAUGGAAAUUGGUAUUGCCGAUAGGGUCUAACCAUCCCAAAUACGGCUAGUGGUCGCCUACUUGGGAAGGGUCGUAUAAAUCGAUCGAUAUGUGCCAGGAAAUGCAUACGUAUUAGAGACCAUCGAGGGAGAGGAAUUUACAAGAGCCUUAAAUGGGAGAUAUUUGAAAAGAUACUAUCCCAGCAUAUGAGUGGACGCGUAGCCGAUGAUAUAGUGUAUCGAGUCGUUAUGGCCGAUUCCUAUUGACUCGUGUUUAUAUAGCCGAUGCAGGGAGGCAUCGCCUUGAGGACGAAACCUCUAAUCAAAUUGGCCGAUUAUUAUUCGGUACGGUGAUUGGAUACAUGGCCAACAUGGUACAAGUCGCCCUUAGACCAAAAGUACCAAUACAUCUAUCGGGUUACAAUAUGAUUAACUGCAUUUCAACUGGGCUUUGUUUUUAUUGAUCUCUCUUUGGACCCGGCCUAGUUCUAUUAAGAGACGGGUGCUCUUUUCCUCCCUAUCCGCCAUGGCAUCUUUGAGAGCGACCUGGCAGGGUAGCUGAUGACUCCUCUCAAUUGGCGGCUGAGGUGGCUCCCUGGAGCUGUUGGCUUCGAUGUGAUCCACGAUCUUCUUAAUGUGGGUCGGAAGAUGGUCUUUAAGCUCCUCACGGUGGGCUUUGAUCAGGUCUUGGUCCACCUGCAUCAGUGGUUCCUCAGAGUGCAUAAUUUCGAUAACUCGCUCAAGAUCAGGGCUGAGCCGGGUCGGCUGGACAAACAGCGGGCAAUCAGUUGUCGAAAAGAAUUGGUCAAGGAGCGCAAGGCUGAUCUCAUACCUCAUUGACGGGGGAAGAAGAAGACAUCUUGGCGCCCGGUUAGGGAUCUGAAAAUGGUCGAGCAGAGUGUAGAAGGAUGGAUGAGAUACGAGUGCCUCUGGGAGGAAUGUAGGGACCCCAUAUUUAUAGGAGAAAAGGUAAGGGGCAACGGUUGGCAAAGGCAUCUAUUCAAAGCAGAUGAAUGUUGAGCUAAAAGCUGCGAAGAGGAAACGUUCAAGUCCGUAUUCACACAAUGAUGGCAAAAGGGGCAUUAAAUGUUUGUGCAGAGGUGUUCAAAAGAUAAUUCAAUGUUUUGAUACAUUCAUUCAAGAAGAAUAUUAAUGGCCGCGAUUGCCUACUGGCGGAUCUGAUCCGCUGAAUCUAGAACUCGUUGGACAUCUUCGGCUGAUCCAAGAAUUUCUAGCAUGUUGCGAUGAAGCCGGAUGGCCUCAUGCGCAAGGGUUUGCCUCUCCUGCUUCAGAUCAGCGAUGACGGUCGUGAGAUCAUGAAGAUUAUUCUUUUUGGCGGUUAUAGCCUUUGUCACCUACUCCAUCUCCUUGGCAAUCUCUGCCCUAUGCUAUUUGAGACGGUCUAUUGUGCCGACGAUGUCUGGGCGAGAAUUUUCGAGUACGCCGAUUCGGUGAUGUACCUCUUGAGCUCGGUGUUUGUAGGAAUCCUUCUCUUCACAUGGCUUUGCCAGCUUGGCAUGAACGGCCAUGUGCCGCAGGGCUCUGAACACCGGGAUUUGCAUUGACUCGAUGUAUGUAGGAGGUGCAAGAGCUUUUUCUACAUCCUUCAGGACUCGGCCUUUUAUUUCGCUGAAGAUUUGCCAAAUCGGCGAAGCGUCUUCCACCAAUCGGCCGAUGUCAUCUUGAAGAAGUGCUCGGAUUCUCUGGAGCUUUGCACGUACUUCUUCCGAAAUUGAACCUGGAGCCACUUGUCGAGAGGCUACCUCUUCAUCAUCAGAAACAGCGAUCGCAAAUGAAAAGAGGCUGUUAUUGGGCGUAUCUUGUUCCUAUAAAAGUAAGAGAGGAAGGAACGGAUUAGCCGACAGUAGUGGGAAAUCGGUCGGAUUGGAUGUCGAAGGCCCUUACCUGUUUAAAAUGAAUUUUCUUCUGUUUGUGUUUGGGGGAUUGCUACCCUUGUCUCAGGAAUCAGCAUGGUUGGCUCGUCAGAAGAAGAAGACUCGACGGUGAUCGACGUUGUGUUUGGACCGGCUUCCUGAAAGUAACAAAAGGAGAGUCUCUAUAAGUAUGAAGCAAUAGUUAGAUCUAAGGAUGAGUACCAGUUACUUUACCUCUGUGAGUCGUCCGGCCGAUGACUGUUGGAAAGGUAUGAUUGAUGUACCCAGAGUGGCCUACAUUAGAAAUCGGUCAUUUUUGACUAAGGAAUAAGAGACUUGAGUAAGAUGUAUGUUCUUUACCUCAGCUGCAAGGAUUGCUGGUGGUUCGGUCUCUGCUUGGGAUGCGACCGAUUGCUGUGAGGUUUGCUCCGAAAGAAUUUGCGCAGCCUAACAAAAAGUGGAAAUUAAUACUGAUAGUAUACUUGGAGAAAUGUGAAGCAUAUAAAGUUACCUGAACAUCUUUUACCAAUAAGGAUGCAGCUGCUGAUCCGGCUUCCGUAGCGGCUUGGGGGUCGACCUCCUGGGCGAUCGGCAGAGUUGGUGUGGCUGAAGACUCGGCUGGUGGCACCGCCGAUUGAUCGGCCGGUUCUAUACGGGCGCGCACCCGGCGGCUUGUCUUCUUUGAAGAGGAUAUCUUCAUCUUCUGCUUCAAUCGGCCUGUGAUGAUAUCUUCGAUUGACGGGGACUGAAAGCCGAUGAUUGGAAAUGAAGUAUAUGGGUGGCGAUUCUCUAUCGGCCUGCCACUACAGUUGUGCGUUGGAGAGAGUUGGCUUUCAGACGACAAGAAAUGAGGGAAAUCAGUGGUAAUACUGUAAGAGUACGGUGUCAAAUCGGCCAGAAGGAUUGGUACCUCUGCAUUCGGAUCAAUGUUAGCGGGGUCCAGAUCAUUACAAUAUGUUGUAGGAGAUGUGCAGAAGAGGUGUUGUUUCCACUCACCCCACCAUAGCUUGAAUUGUUGGACAGCGAAGGGGGCCACAACCCAGUUGGCCAAUUCGAUGGUACUGGAAUCCGGCGUCAAGCUGCACAGCUGAUUGUAUUCAAGACCUUUAGAGAGCUCCUCCCGACACUUAACGCGGCCGGCAAAAUAAAUCUUAAUCGGCAUUUGUCUGAGGCCGAAUUGCCGCGCUGCCACUGAUGGGUUGUAGAAUUCAUAGGUUGGGGAGUCUUUUCCUGAGAAGAAGUUUGCUGGUAGGAUCCCAGGCUUGAUCAAAGUAUCCAUAAGCUCAUUAUCGAAGUAAUUGAUGGUUGAAUUGAAGCAGUCGGGGUUUUCAAAGAGUGGCUCAAUUCUCUGAUAUGGGUACCAGCUUGUAGUUUCUUCAUUGAAGCCGAUAUAGAAGCAUCUGAAAUACUCAGUUGUAUUUGUGGGGGUAAACUUGCUGCCAGGAGAAGCUGACGCUACCUCGCCAAGGAAGUGCAACGCCGUCUUAAUGUUGGGUUAUCCUCUGAUUCAAUAUUGGGGAAUGUCUUGGUCUCAACUCGUUCCCUGGAGAUCUUGCUCAUGUAUAAGUUGAGCCAGAUGGUGAUAAACCACCAGGGGCCACCAGAGUUCCCAAUCGGCUCUCCGGAUGACAGCUUGACUGCGAUUUGGUGCAUCAUAUGAUGAGCCAAUCCUAGCAGGUGUUUUCCUAAGGGGAUAGUAGAACCUUUUGCUAGGGCCUCGACCAGAGCCUGUGUAUUGGAGGAGGGGCCAACUGCUUUGCCACAGAAGAAGUGCUUCUCUAACCACAUCAUCAGGAAAGCUGUGUAUUCUCUAUCGCCGAUAGGACCGGUCUUCAUAUUUUUAUCAAUAUAGCAUUUCCACCUGCCGAUUCCCUUUGUUUCCAGGCGAUGGGUUGGUUUGAUCAGGAAAUUGAAGGGCAAGUCGGGGGAAGAGAUGUCAAGACCGGUCAGCAUCAGGACGUCGGCCAAAGUAGGGGUCAUGGGCCCAUGUCCAAAAAGGAAAACAUUGAGAGCGUCAGACCAGAAAUAAGAAGCUGCCAUGACCAAAGGUUCAUUCUUCUCCAUUUGAGACAGAUAUAAGUUUAUGCAUUGGCCGAUUUUUAGUUCAUCCCAAAGAACCCUCUAAGAAUUGGACAUCCUUUGAAACCACUCUUUCCAGCCAAGGGUUUCGUUCGGCCAAGAUCUAAAUGCACCUGUCCACUGGCUUAAAUCCAUUGGUGACUGCUUGAAAGGGAUCAUGUGGGUUUCCAGGUUGAUCAAUUCAGUGGGAUCUAGAUUCCCCAUGGGGCUAAGACCGACGAGGCCGGGUGCGUCAGAAACAGGGAUGGUGAUUUGCUGCCUAAGUUCCUAAAAAGGAUACAAAAGGAGAACUAAGAACAGAUCUAAAAGAUGCGUGAAUGGUGAAAAGUAAAAGUAAAAACUUUGGGAUAUUUACCUCUGGAAUGAAAGCCAUAGUCGCCUAUGGAGCCGCUAUUGGAGUAAACAGAAUAGGAUGGACGGAAGAUGAAGGAGGAAUCACCGUAGGAAUGCAGUUGGAAGAUGAAAGGGUGCCGAAAUGCGAUGGAAGAUGAUUCGCCGGGGAAAAAAGAGUUUCCCAGCUUGUGGAGAAGAAGCGGCGGAGAAUGCAAAUAUUUAAAGAUGGUUCGAGAGAAGGGUAAAGGUGGGAUUUUACCGCGCUGUCUGCACAAAUUUCGGGAAGAGCGGUUGCCUGCGAGCGCCUAGCUCGAAAAUUGUGAUCAUCAGAGAGAAGACCGCAGAACAGAAAGGAGCUUUCGCCGUGCCCGCCUCGGAGGAUGAGUUAGAGUUGAAAAAAAUUUGAAGCAAAAAGUUUCACUCUGAAACUUGGGGGCAUGUGUUGACGCCGGAUUUUGACACGUACUUGAAAUCGGCGUCAAAGAAGGAGAAAGGGGGGCCGAUGCGGCGGACUAGAAGCUACAGUUGGGAAUCGGCCGAUUGAAGCUACAGUGUUUCAGCCGAUUGGUGGAAGAAAUCGGUGGAGGCUGGCCGAUUGAGAGCCAAAGCAGUUUGGCCGGUUUGGGCCUAAGGUGGACCAGGAUGAAGAUUUGCUGAAGAGACAGGCCCGUGGGAAAAUAAUAACCAACUCGAAUAUGAGUCGUGUUUGUAACUAUUUGUUGUCGUUUGAAAUUAGAGAUAGAUUCUAGUCGGUUAUGAAAUCAGUUGCAACAGGCAAUAAUAGCUGCCUCGAGAGGCUUGUAAAAAAAUAACACACAAUCAAUAAAACAAAUUUACUCUUUCCUCGUACUUUACUUUCAAGUCGGCGACUUCGCCAAAACCUUUUUCUUUCACGAGUUCGUACGGAUUGGCAGGGCUGCAUCUACAUGAUCUCCGACCGAUUCUGUAAGUUCCGCUUAUCGAGUAAUAUCUAAGCUUUAACUUCGGGCGCAUCGCUGUUGUUUCAUUUAGAUUUAUUCACUAGUUAUCGAUAUCAACUACAGUCAUAGGUUUUACCUGUUAUUUUAGUUUUUAUCACCAAUUAUCCAGCUUGAGGUACGAGCUAUCGGCUUCUAUUAUUUUUAUCCUUUAUCAUCACAUAGCUGAUUAGAUCUACUCCAAGUGUUGCUUUUGUAGUGUUGUUUAGGUUGCUCUAGAAGUUUUCCUUACGAUUGCUACGUGAGUAUCGGCUGUCUUAUAGCCGGUCAUCUCUAUAGUAAAUCGGCCGAUUCGCUAAUACGCUCUUCAAGACAGAUCGGAACUCUAGCCGAUCGAAACCCCUAAAAUUUAAUAUUCUUCUUUCCUUUGUCAAUCAACAGGUCAGAUUGACUGGCACGCCGCGCGAACCGCACCAGGGCAAUAACCUGAACAGGAGCUAAGCAGAUUCUCCCGGGUCGUGUGUCCGACGCUGAGGGUCAUCGGCCAAUUUUCAGGGCCAACAACAGCUUUUGGGCAAAAGCAUAUAGGACUUUUAGGGGGUGUUUGGCAUGGCUCUAGAGCUGAACUCCGGUAACUCCAGCCAAUUUUCCAGCCAAACACCCUAGCUCCAAAACUCCAUGGAGCUGCAGUGCAAAUGGGAUGGAGUUUUGGCGCACCUCUUUUGUAGCUCCAAAACCACCUAAUAUGAACCUCCUCGUGGAGUUGGUGGGUAAUUAACCAUCAAUGCCACUGAUUAAAAUAAAAAUGAUUCACUUCUAUUUUCUCUCGAGACCCCUCCCCGCGCCGCCCGAGGCCUCCUGAUGCCGCUCUCCUGCGCCGCCGCCUAGCGCCGCCGACAGCUGCUGUCGCCGUCCGUGCCCCGCGUCCUGCGGGCUACCGCCUCGCCAUCCCCAUGAGCCCCCUGCACCGCCGUCAGAGCCGCCAGCCGAGCCGCUGCGGCCGGGUUUCCGCCGUCUUGCCGCCUCUUUCCUCAACUGGAGUGAGCCAUCAGCAGCAGCAGAUUCCCCUCGGCGAGCCACGCCCGUUUCGCCGGUUCCGUUGUCACCCUGCUGCCGGAGUGCCGCCGCCACCGUGAAAACCGCCCGCCCCCCGAUCUCCACCACCACGCUGACCACCUCCGUCCAUGCCCUCCGCCGGUGAGCACACCCGUAGAUUCCCCUCGACCCCCUCUUCCUCUUGCGCCACCUGCCCAAAACACCACCUCGCCGGAGCGCCAGCAAGCUAGCUGGCCAGAGCCCCGGUGAGAGGAGGAAGAAGGAACCUGGCUCUUUUGUGAUUGGGUCCUUGAGGAAAGCUAAAAUCUUUUGCUCUGUUCCUUGCUCCCGGCGAGAGGAGGAAGAAUAGUGGGCUUCUGUGGUGGAGGGCGAGAUCGAACCAGGAGUCAGAAUGUCAAUCUACCCUCAAACUCCUCUUUUCUGGAGUUGGGAACACCCUCCCAACCAAACACCUUCAUCAGACAGCAGGUUGAAAAGAGGCACAUGAGGCUCAGCCGCUUAGGCCCACGGGCAAAAAAAAAAAACUCUUACUUUAUGGCGGAGUAGUUGCUGUUCCAGUGUGCAGGUAAAUUGUCGCAAAUGCCCUCUUGUGGUCGCGUUGCAGUAGCCGAUAAGGCGUCCAAACGUGAGGUGCACACACCUGAUCUGAUCCUCUCAGUGGAAACGGGCCAGGUCCAUGCAACCCAGGACAGGAAGGCUCUAUACCUGGGCCGAACGGUAGCCCAAGAGGCCGACAGUAAGUGAGCUCACGGGUGACGAACGGCCCAGAAGCCGCCCCAAUCCGGCCACCGCCACUGAGCCGGCUCGACUAAACCGGAUCGCCACGCAGCCCGACCGCGCAGGCGUACUUCCCGAACUACCCCCGGAGAUUAUCCAAUCGGACGGCCAAGCGCCACGCACUGCCAAAGAAUUCCCCGAAAUGACCCUACUCUUCCCUUUGCCUCCCUCGCGUGCCGCCGGUUCUGCUCGACCGGACCAGCGGUUCAGGCGCCGAAUAUUCGCCCGCGGAUAUUUCUUGCCCGGUGCGUCAACUCCGCCGCUAUAAAUACCCUCAUAGGGCGGCCGCUAGGGUUUUAGUGCUUCUCUCCCGGCGGCGCCUCCACAUAUCGUCUCUCAGAUCGGGAGGCGAAACCAAGGUGACUGACCUCAUCCCCUUUCUCCUCCCUCCGUCUCUGGUUGCUAUAGCUAUUUCAUCCAUGCGCUGUCCUUAUAGCUGAUUAGUAUUUUUACUAGUGGAGUUCGAGUCGUUUUGGUUCCAUUCAGUAGUGCUUGUGUUGAUUGGAUUGAAUCGGAGGACUCGAAGUGGUUUGUGCUGCUCGAAUCGUAAGUUUGUUGGGCUAAUCUCGAUGGAAUUUAUGUCAAUUCGUUGGUUUAGUGGUCCUUGGCAGUUCUCUCUGUGAUAGGCCCGUCCGAUCUGUAGAGAUGCGGUGGAAUCCUGGUUUACUCAAAACGGUUCUAGAUUCCUCUGUUCUUCCCUUAUUUUUUGUUUCGAUUACUUAGUUUGCACGUUAGGGGCCUAUGAAGUUUAUGUGCUCGGAUCCUUUAGUGAAACUGAUCUGUUUACUCAGAUGUGCUCGGAUCCUUCAGUGAAACUGAUCUGUUUACUCAGAUCUGCUGGUAGCUAACAGGUUCAGGGUAGUUAUGUUGAUGGUCUAGUUUUGGUAGUUUCAUUGUCGAUUUCUGUCCAUUUUUGUCAUGUUCUGUCCAUAAAAAUACUAUCUGUGCUUCUUCAUAUCUUGUAAUAUGAAUUCAUUUGACAAACUAUGCAUUUCUUUUAGAGUGUUUGUCUAAAUUAAUCUUCUGGUAUAUCCCUAUGCCAGUCUGUUAAUAUGUCUGUAUUAUAGUGUUUUGUUUGAGGUGGUAAUGUACAUGGUGCACCCUGCAGUUUUUCAUGUCUAAUAUUGAAUCUCCUUGUUUGCUGUAUGUAUUAAGGAUUAGUUUCACUUCAAAUAGCUUACUGCUGAUGCUUUCUUGUUUGUUUAAUAUGCUGUGUAAUCAUGUUGACCCUGAGGUUUGUAAGAAUUCCUCUUAUUUGAUUAUUGCAUGGAUUAGUGUCCUGAAGGAUAUGGCUCCUUUGUACAAUUAAGAUAAUUCACUUUUUUUUCUCAACUUUUAUAUGCUUACUAGCCCAUUAGGUUGUGUAAACAUUAGAGUGCUUUAGCCUGGUAAAGAUGAGUUAAGCAUUUUAAAUAAAUUUUUGGAUUUGGUUGAUAUCAUCCUUAACACCUGCAUUUAAACAAUUUGUCUCUUUUGAUCCUGACUAUUACAGUGGGUGUUACUUUCUUUAGUCAUUCUGUGGUAUCAAAGUUUCUGGUGUAGUUGUGUAAUUAUGGUUUUGGUUGGAUUCUUACUAGUAUUUUCUACCUUUAAACAGCAGGAAAUUAUAUACAUAUUUGUAGUGUGAUCUUCAUAAGAAGUCAAGAUGGUGAAGUUCACAGCGGAAGAGCUCCGUGCCAUCAUGGACAAAAAGAACAACAUUCGUAAUAUGUCCGUUAUUGCUCAUGUGGACCACGGUAUGUUAAGAACAGUGUUUAAUUAAAUGUUAUGCAUACCUGUUCCUCGACAUUUUUCAGGCUUUUCAAUUUUAGCAAUUGUUUUUUUUCAGUAUUAAAUCUCUGAAUUGUUCUUGCCAGUGAAUGCGAUUCAUGCUGCGUUAGCUAUCACAGACCUAUUUUACAUAUGUAGAAAUAUUCAUUUCAUGUUGGAAAUAGGCUUAUUGUUCUUUUGUAAUUAAUGUAUUGGUUUAUCUCUAGAUAUUGCAGUGUAUAGUAUCUGUUUACUAUGUGUUUUAUAUUGGGAUGUAUUGUUGUCUUUGUUAACUUGUGAGAGGUUGUCUAUCCCUAAUGUUGUACUAUUCUUGAUGCAUCUUCGGACUGACUUUUAAGUUCCACACUAUAGUCUUACAUCUCAUUAAUUCUUUGCAGGCAAGUCUACCCUUACAGAUUCCCUUGUGGCAGCUGCUGGGAUUAUUGCCCAGGAAGUUGCUGGUGAUGUCCGCAUGACUGAUACACGUGCAGAUGAAGCAGAGCGUGGUAUUACAAUCAAAUCCACCGGUAUUUCUCUGUACUAUGAGAUGACUGAUGAGUCACUGAAGAGUUACAAGGGUGAGAGAGAUGGUAACCAGUACUUGAUCAACCUUAUCGACUCACCUGGGCACGUUGAUUUUUCUUCGGAAGUCACAGCUGCCCUUCGUAUCACCGAUGGUGCUCUAGUGGUGGUUGACUGUAUUGAAGGUGUCUGUGUGCAAACUGAAACUGUGCUCCGCCAGGCUCUUGGUGAGAGGAUUAGGCCAGUGCUUACUGUGAACAAGAUGGACAGGUGUUUCCUUGAGCUUCAGGUUGAGGGUGAGGAAGCCUACCAGACUUUCUCCCGUGUCAUUGAGAAUGCCAAUGUCAUUAUGGCAACAUAUGAAGAUAAGCUCCUUGGUGAUGUCCAAGUCUACCCGGAGAAGGGAACUGUUGCUUUCUCUGCUGGUCUGCACGGCUGGGCCUUUACCCUCACCAACUUUGCCAAGAUGUAUGCUUCGAAGUUUGGAGUUGAUGAAACUAAGAUGAUGGAGAGGCUCUGGGGUGAGAACUUCUUUGACCCAGCCACAAAGAAGUGGACCACCAAGAACACAGGCUCUGCUACCUGCAAGAGAGGAUUUGUUCAGUUCUGCUAUGAGCCAAUCAAGCAAAUCAUCAACACCUGCAUGAAUGACCAGAAGGAUAAGUUGUGGCCCAUGCUUCAAAAGCUUAAUGUUACCAUGAAGUCUGAUGAGAAGGAAUUGGUUGGCAAGGCUUUGAUGAAGCGUGUUAUGCAAACUUGGCUUCCAGCUAGUACUGCACUGCUUGAGAUGAUGAUAUUCCACCUUCCUUCCCCAUCAAAGGCACAAAAGUAUCGUGUGGAGAACUUGUACGAGGGACCCCUUGAUGAUAUCUAUGCUACUGCUAUCAGGAACUGUGAUCCGGAGGGUCCUCUUAUGCUGUAUGUUUCUAAGAUGAUUCCAGCAUCUGACAAGGGCAGGUUCUUCGCCUUUGGUCGUGUCUUCUCUGGGAAGGUUGCUACUGGUAUGAAGGUUAGGAUCAUGGGUCCCAACUAUGUCCCUGGCCAGAAGAAGGAUCUGUACGUCAAGAGUGUCCAGCGUACUGUUAUCUGGAUGGGAAAGAAACAAGAGUCUGUUGAGGAUGUUCCUUGUGGUAACACUGUUGCUAUGGUUGGUCUGGAUCAGUUCAUCACGAAGAAUGCUACACUCACCAAUGAGAAGGAGGUUGAUGCAUGCCCAAUCAGAGCAAUGAAGUUCUCUGUCUCCCCUGUUGUGCGCGUUGCUGUUCAGUGCAAGGUUGCCUCUGACCUACCCAAGCUCGUUGAAGGUUUGAAGCGUCUGGCAAAGUCUGAUCCUAUGGUCCUCUGUACAAUUGAAGAAUCUGGUGAGCAUAUUAUUGCUGGAGCUGGUGAGCUUCACCUUGAGAUUUGCCUGAAGGAUCUGCAGGAAGACUUCAUGGGUGGUGCUGAAAUUAUUGUUUCUCCUCCUGUUGUCUCUUUCCGUGAAACUGUUCUUGAGAAAUCCUGCCGAACAGUCAUGAGCAAGUCCCCCAACAAGCACAACCGUCUUUACAUGGAAGCCCGUCCCUUGGAAGAGGGUCUCCCUGAGGCUAUUGAUGAGGGCCGCAUUGGUCCACGUGAUGAUCCCAAGGUUCGCUCCAAGAUCCUCUCUGAGGAGUUUGGUUGGGACAAGGAUCUUGCCAAGAAGAUUUGGUGCUUUGGACCUGAGACCACUGGCCCGAACAUGGUUGUUGAUAUGUGUAAGGGAGUGCAGUACCUCAAUGAAAUCAAGGAUUCUGUUGUGGCUGGCUUCCAGUGGGCCUCAAAGGAGGGUGCACUGGCUGAGGAGAACAUGCGUGGCAUCUGCUUUGAGGUCUGU
rnacentral:lncRNA from 1 species